rnacentral:lncRNA from 1 species
ACAACAACAACCUAUAGAUUGACACCGACGAUCGAUAAUUGUUCAUGAAAAGUUUCUCCGUUCUCGUCCAAAUUUCAGUAUGUCGUUUUAUUCAUUUAGGUAGUCAAAUAAACAUACUUCCUCAAAUUUUUAACCAUCCAAAUUUCUCUCUAAAAUCCCCGACUUCUCCGCUUGUUAAAUUACUUAGUUUGAAUCGUUCUUCUUCACCGUAAGUCCGAUUUGAGUGAAACCAACGCCAAAACGAUCGUGUGAAAAAUGGUUAUUUUAUCCACUGAUUUGUUUUCUGAUUUAUGAUCGAUUGAAAAACAAAGAGUCAAUGAACAAAGGUUGUUUGCUCGUGGAAUCGUAGUCGCGUGUGAAAGAGUCAAAAUAAGGUAAGGGGUGAGAGAGCGUUUGAAUUCAUGAGUGUAAUAUAUUGUGAGAUGAACGGGAAAACCAUAUUUCCCAACGAUUCAUCUGGGGCUCGCUACGUAUGGCAGUAGCCCUUUGAGGGAUAAAUUAAUUAAUGUGAAAAUAUGGAAAUUGUGAGAUUAAAAUAUAGAAUAGAAAUAUUUGUAGGGUGUUGAUUGAUUUAAUUUCGUUAAAUGUGUGGCAUUUGAUAUUAUUGUGAUAUUUGAUUUAAUUUCUUUAAAUGUGUGGUGUGUGAUAUUAUUGUGAUAUUGAUUGUUGAAUUAAUUUUAUGCAUAUGUUUGAUUAGAUGAAUUUAAAUGAUGUUAUAAUAAAAAUAGAUGUGUUGUGAUAAUUAUAUGUAAUGAUGAUAAUGUAUGAUUAAUAAUGGUGAUGUGAUAAAUUUGUGAUGAAUAUAUGUGUUGCUGUAUGAUUGAUGAUAGUGAUUCUAUAAAUUUGUGAUGAGUUUAUGUGACAAUGUUGAUGAUGUGUGAUUAAUUAUAGUCAUGUUAUAAAUUGUGAUGAGAAUAUUGUGAUUUCAAUUUAUGUCUCAGAUGACGGUAUUAAUGGAGUAUCAUAUACCAACGAGGGGAGAAAAUAAAUAUUGUGAAUUUGUGAAGUGGAGAUUAUUUUGUCAUCAUAUAGGUAGGGCCUGACAAGCCUAGUGAUUCCGGGGAAGUACAACUGAAUGAGCCUGAUCGUGGCGGGCUUUUGUCGAGUCUUUAGGCAAGAUUGUUAGACCUUGGAGGUAUUCGGGUGGGGAAUUCCUAGGUGACUUGGAGGUAGCACUCCAAAUGUCGGGAGCUACCACGCAACACACGUUUACCUCGACUGUCACGUAUAUGUGUCUCGGGGUGGCGGUCUUUUGUCGAGUCUUAAGGCAAGAUUGUUAGACCUUGGAGGUAUUCGGGUGGGGAAUUCCUAGGUGACUUGGAGGUAGCACUCAAAAUGUUGGGAGCUGCCACACAACACACGCUUACCUCGACUGUCACGUAUAUGUGUCUCGGGUUGAGUUGAGGGGAUCUAUGAGGAGAUGACCAAUUUGAAUUGUCCGUCCACUGGGAUGGUGGCAUAGUAUCAAGCCUCCUAACCAAGUACUUCAGAGUUAGAAUGGUACCACAUUGUGAAGUAGAGUCUAAGCUCAUGCAUAUCAUUGCAUUUCCUUGUGAUUGUUUCAUUGUGAUUGAUGUGUUUUAAAAGUAAUAAUAAUUACUCUUAGAUUAUUUGAUGCAUAUUAUAAGGAGAUGAUCAUUUUACUUGAGUGAAUUUGAUGUUAUAAUAUGAUACAAUUACUUAAAUAUUUUGAUAUAUCGUAAUGUGAUUAUGAUACGGCCUAUUAUGAUUGUUGCGUGUUCUUCUUACUUAUAUUAUACUAUUAACAUGAUUUCGAAACUCACCUCUUUCGUUGUUUGUGUUUGACUGGUCUGGCCCUGCGUUUGCGAAAUCGCAGUUAUUACAGGUUAAUGAAUCUUGAAGUUCAAGUUUGGGAGGAACCACGCUCUGAUAGGUGAUACCGGGAAUAAGGACUUAAAUUGAGUUUUACUUUUUAAUUUGAAACGAAUUUUUGUAUGAAUAUCUAAUAAGUACUAGUAAGUUUUUAAAUUAAAUCAAGUAAUAAUACUUAAAUAAAGCCUAUUGAGAUUACACUAUUUUGAUAGAGAAAAUAAGUUUAAAAUGUUAUUUUUGAUUUUUGAGAAACAUGAUAUCCUAAGUUAAAAAUAAAAGUUUUUAUUUUCUUGUAAAUAUAUUUUUAUUUAUCUACUGCUAAUUUUAUAGAAAUAUAAUAUAAAUUAAUAUAUAUAUUAUUUUGGGGUUUAGGGUGUCACAAACAUCACAUACCAAUAUGAUACAUGAGAAUUGACGGAUUUAAACAUGAUCUUUGAGUUUAGGCCCCUAAAUCUAUUGAAAUAUAAAUCUUGUAUUUAUAUUGUGAAACUCAAUGGAUGUGUUUGAGAAUUGGGAGACGAAAAUGUGAAUUUAUGGUUGACGACUCUAAAGUAGAUUGCAUUAUGAAAUUAUUCAUACUGUAAAAUCUCGGAUGAUAUACACGAGAAUUGAAAGACUCUAAUGCGAGCUUGAUAUGAUCUUAUGCCUAUAUCAAGAAAUUAGGAGGAUAUGAUAAACCUCAUAUAUCAAUGUGAUACAUGCGAAUUGACGGAUUCAAACAUGAUCUUUGAUUUCAUGUCCCUAAAAUCUAUUGCAAUAUAAAUCUUGUAUUUAUAUUGUGAAACUCAUUGAGUGUGUAUAAGAAUUGACGGACCAAAAUGUGAGUUUAUGGUUGAAGAACCUAAAGUAGAUUGCAUUAUAAAAUUAUUCAUACCGUAAAAUCUCGGAUGAUAUACACGAGAAUUGCAAGACUCGAAUGCGAGCUUGAUAUGAUUUUUUGCCCAUAUCAAGAAAUUUGGAGGAUAUGAUAAAACUCAUAUACCAAUGUGAUACAUGAGAAUGGACGGAUUCAAACAUGAUAUUUGAGUUCAUGUCCCUAAAAUCUAUAGCAAAAAUAAAUCUUGUAUUUAUAUCGUGAAACUCAAUGGAUGUGUAUAAGAAUUGACGGACCAAAAUGUGAGUUUAUGGUUGACGAUCCUAAAGUAGAUUGCAUUAUGAAAUUAUUUAUACUGUUAAAUCUCGGAUGACAUAUAUGAGAAUUGAUAGACUCGAAUGCGAGCUUGAUGUCCCUAAAAUAAAUAGCAAUAUGAAAGCGAGCUUGAUAUGAUUUUUUGCCCAUAUCAAGAAAUUGAGAGGAUAUGAUAAACCUCAUAUACCAAUGUGAUGCAUGAGAAUUGACGGAUUCAAACAUGAUCUUUGAGUUUAGGUUCCUAAAAUCUAUUGCAAUAUAAACCUUGUAUUUAUAUUGUGAAACUCGAUGGAUGUGUAUGAAAAUUGAGGGACCAAAAUGUGAGUUUAUGGUUGACGACUCUAAAGUAGAUUGCAUUAUGAAAUUAUUCAUACUGUAAAAUCUCGGAUGAUAUACACGACAAUUGAAAGACUCGAAUGCGAGCUUGAUAUGAUUUUUUGCCUAUACCAAGAAAUUGGGAGGAUAUGAUAAACCUCAUAUAUCAAAGUGAUGCAUGCGAAUUGACGGAUUCAAACAUGAUCUUUGAGUUCAUGUCCCUAAAAUCUAUUGCAAUAUAAAUCUUGUAUUUAUAUUUUGAAACUCAAUGGGUGUGUAUAAGAAUUGACGGACCAAAAUGUGAGUUUAUGGUUGACGACCCUAAAGUAGAUUGCAUUAUAAAAUUAUUCAUACUGUAAAAUCUCAGAUGAUAUACACGAGAAUUAAAAGACUCGAAUGCGAGCUUGAUAUGAUUUUUGGCCCAUAUCAAGAAAUUGGGAGGAUAUGAUAAACCUCAUAUACCAAUGUGAUACAUGAGAAUUGACGGAUUCAAACAUGAUAUUUGAGUUCAUGUCCCUAAAAUCUAUUGCAAUAUAAAUGUUGUAUUUAUAUAGUGAAACUUGAUGGAUGUGAAUAAGAAUUGACGGACCAAAAUGUGAGUUUAUGGUUGACGACCCUAAAGUAGAUUGCAUUAUGAAAUUAUUCAUACUGUAAUAUCUCGGAUGAUAUACAUGAGAAUUCACAGACUCGAAUGCGAGCUUGAUGUCCCUAAACUAAAUAAGAAUAUGAAUGCGAGCUUGAUAUGAUUUUUUUCCUAUAUCAAGAAAUUGGGAGGAUAUGAUAAACCACAUAUACCAAUGUGAUACCUGAGAAUUGCUGGAUUCAAACAUGAUUUUUGAGUUCAUGUCCCUAAAAUCUUUUGCAAUAUAAAUCUUGUAUUUAUAUUGUGAAACUCAAUGGAUGUGUAUAAGAAUUGACGGACCAAAAUGUGAGUUUAUGGUUGACGACCCUAAAUUAUAUUGCAUUAUGAAAUAAUUUAUACUGUAAAAUCUCGGAUUAUAUUUAUGAGAAUUGACAGACUCGAAUGUGAGCUUGACGUCCCUAAACUAAAUAGCAAUAUGAAUGCGAGCUUGAUAUGAUUUUUUCCCCAUAUCAAGAAAUUGAGAGAAUAUGAUAAACCUUAUAUACCAAUGUGAUACAUGAGAAUUGACAGAUUCAAACAUGAUCUUAUGGUUCAUGUCCCUAAAAUCUAUUGCUAUAUAAAUCUUGUAUUUAUAUUGUGAAACUCAAUGGAUAUGUAUAAGAAUUGACAGACCAAAAUGUGAGUUUAUGGUUGAUGACCCUAAAGUAGAUUGCAUUAUGAAAUUAUUCUUACUAUAAAAUCUCUGAUGAUAUACACGAGAAUUGAAAGACUCGAAUGCGAGCUUGAUAUGAUUUUUUGCCUAUAUCAAGAAAUUGAGAGGAUAUGAUAAACCUCAUAUAUCAUUGUGAUACAUGAGAAUUGACGGAUUCAAACAUGAUCUUGGAGUUCAUGUGCCUAAAAUCUAUUGCAAUAUAAAUACUAAUAUUCAUGAAAUUUCAAUCGAAAUUUAAUUUAAUUGAAUUAUUUUUCAAUAAUAAAAAUUUAAUUUUUGAAUUUUUCAUGAGUUUCAGUCGAAAAUUUGAAGUUUCCGGUAGUUAUUUCUCAAUAUCGGAGAUUUCAAAUUUUUGAUUGAAUCUCCUCGAAAUUUCAUUUGAAAUUUUCAGUAUUGAAAAAUAACUAUCAGAAAUUUCAAAUUUCUGGUUAAAACUCCCGAAAAUUUCAUUUCAUCCUGAAAUAUCCGGUACAGUUUUGUUUUUUUAAUUUUAAUUUUUACAAAUUUUAUUUUUAUAUUCUAUUUAUUUUCAAUGAGGAUCAGAAGAGCGAAAAAUAUCGUUGAAGUUUUUUUUCCUCUUACAAUUGUGCACUAAAGAAGAAAAGAAUAAUCGAAAAGGAUAAAAAUGGAAGCAUUUUUGUGCUCCUUUAUUACACUCAUCAAUUAUUUCAAACCGGAGAUAUGUUUAAUCAUGAACAAAGAUAACUCAAACAUGGAUGAAACAUCUAUACAUUUUGAAUGUCAAAUUCACGAAAAGUCACAACUUUUAGAAUUCAAAAAUAUUGCGUUAAAAUUAUAUCUAACUUUUAGAUGUUCAAAUAUACUUGAUAUUUAUUUGUGUUCAAAUGUUUAUAUAAAAAAGUUGUAUUUAACGACAUUUAAAAUUGUGUUUUUGUAAAUAAUUAAUGAAUUGUAAGUACAUCUUUGUAUUUGUUAACCAUAUAUUGCACAUAAUUAAUUAUGUAUUUGGACUGUAUUAAUCAUCUAAUAAAUUGUUGUAGAAAUUUAAUGUAAAUUUUUGUCUCAAAUCAAAUAUAUUAUUGAAAUUUAUUUUCCAAAAAUUAGAUAUGUAUAUUAUACAUAAAUUUAAUGGACCUUUUUUGAAGUUGAUGUAAAGAAAGAAGAUAUAUCUCCCUAAUUUAAAGUUUUGGGCUAACAAAAGAAAUAUAUUGUUACUAGCAUUGACGUUUUUUUUCUUUCUAUUAUUCAUUGAUGAUUUUUUUUUCAGAAUAGUGAUUACUAUUUGUUAAAAACUAUAAGAAUAUUUUUAAUAGAAAAAUAGGCUACACAAAAUCUAUCUAUUUAUUAUAGGUAUAGAUAUCUUUUAAAAAACUAAGAUGGAUUGAUAUGGGCGAAAUCUGCCGAUACACCGAUUUAAAACGGCUGCUCUUUCUAAAUCUUAUUUUCCUUUGUAUGAUCGAGAAUAUAUCAUUCUUCUUAGAUUCUCCAUGAUGCAAAACCGCAACAUUGAUAAAUUAUAAUCCUUUGGAACUUUAGAGCCGUAACAAUCAUCAAGUAUGACAAUUUGGUGUUUUAUGGGUGCGAUCAGAAGAAUGGUGCCACAACUACCACCACCACCACCUAAAUGCAACACGUAUCCCUUUUUUGUAGCUUCAUAUAGUACGAGGUUUCUCAGUAUUUAAACACACAUGACCAACCAACAACAUAGUACAUCAAAGAAAAAGAAGAAAAAACAUAGAUAUUUUGUGCAUGUCAAUCAACAUGCUGGAAGGAAAAAUGUUUCCACAUCUACCAUCAUUUCUAAAGCAAGUUCCACACGACCUAAAUUCCACCCUUUACAUGUUUCUUUCAUUCUUUAUCAGCAUGCUGUUUGUGUUCAAGUUUACAAGAAGAAACAAACUUAAUCUACCUCCAUCCCCACCUAGAUUGCCAAUAAUUGGAAACUACCUUCAACUAGGAACACUUCCUCAUCGCUCUUUUCAAUCCCUGUCACAAAAAUAUGGUCCUUUAAUGCUGUUGCAGCUUGGUCAGCUUCGUGUGUUGGUGGUUUCCUCAGUAGAUAUGGCAAAAAAAGUCAUGCAAACACAUGACAUGGUUUUUGCGAGCCGACCAUGUUUGACAUCAUCAAAAGCCCUACUAUAUGGAUGUAAAGACAUUGCUUUUGCAUCUUAUGGUGAUACAUGGAGACAGAAAAAGAAACUGUGUGUGAUUGAAUUGUUGAGUCAGAAACGGGUGCAGUCAGUGCAGUUUAUUAGAGAAGAGGAAGCUGAGGCAUUGAUUGAUAAGAUACAUAAAGCGGUGAAUUUGAGAAAUGAUUGCUGUGUGAACCUUAGUGAGAUGCUGAUUGCAACAGCAAACAACAUAAUCUUUAGGUGUAUAUUUGGAAGGAAAUAUGAUGGUUGCCAUUUUGGAGAGGCUGGGAGGGAGAUAAUGGCUCAAAUUUCAGAUUUUAGUAUGAGAGAUUUGUUUCCUUUGUUGGGUUGGAUUGAUGUUCUCACUGGCCAAAUUAAAAAAAUUAAGGUCACUUUUGAACAAAUGAAUGAUUUCUUUGAUAGUAUGAUUGUGGAACAUAAGAUGGCUAGGAGGGACCGCAACAAGAAAGAUUUCCUAGAUAUUCUACUUCAACUUCAGGAUGAUGGUCUUUCAGACUUCGAGCUCACACAAAAUGACUUAAAAGCACUCUUAAUGGUCUUUCUUUCUAUCCCUUUAUCCCCAUGGAAAAACAAAUUCAUCACCAUUUCUAUUCAAAUAUGUUGCAAAAGCAAUUAAAAAAUAUUGGUUUAUGUAAUCUCAACUAAUUAAAAGCUCAAAAUAUAUUAAGUGCCUAAUUUAUAAAACAUCAGAAGUUGUUUUUAUAUUAGCAUGAGUUGAUUGGCAAUGGCUAAUAAGCAUUAUAAUCUGUUUUCUGUUUCCAUAAUUUCAGGACAUGUUUUUAGGAGGAAGUGACACAACUUCAACAACAGUAGAAUGGGCUAUGGCAGAGCUUGUAAAAAAUCCAGGCAUAAUGAAGAAAGCACAGGAGGAGGUAAGAAGGGUUGUAGGGAAUAAAUCAAAAAUAGAGGAGAGUGAUGUCAACCAAAUGGACUACAUGAAAUGUGUAAUCAAAGAAACUUUGAGGCUACAUCCAGCUGCUCCUCUUUUGGCUCCUAGAAAAACAACAUCUAGUGUUAAACUCGGGGGUUAUGAUAUUCCUGAUAAAACAAUGGUAUAUGUUAACGCGUGGGCAAUCCAGAGGGACCCUGAAUUUUGGGAAAGGCCAGAAGAGUUUCUACCUGAGAGAUUUGAAAACAGCAAGGUUAAUUUCAAUGGUCAAGACUUUCAAUUUAUCCCGUUUGGUUCUGGGAGAAGAAAAUGCCCAGGUAUUGCGUUUGGUCUAGCUUCCUCCGAGUACACGGUUGCUAAUCUUUUGUAUUGGUUUGAUUGGAAGCUACCUACAAAUGGUGCAUCUCUUCAAGACAUAGACAUGACUGAGAGAUUUGGGCUCACUGUCAACAAAAAAGAUCCUUUGUGCCUCCAACCAAUACGAUACAGCAAUUUCUAAGAAUAAUUUCACACUUCUUUUUAUACUUGUCCAUCUAUAGUGAAAAAUAAGAUCAACAAAAAAGAUCUUUUGUGCCUUCAACCAAUACCAUACAACAAUUCUAAGAAUAAUUUCACACUUCUUUUUAUACUUAUCCAUCUAUAGUAAAAAAUAAGAAACAGUAAAGGUGCUCAUCUCUAAACACUGAUCAUCAUAGCUUAUUUUGUUUUAUUGCUUUUGUAAUGUAACUUGUAGUGAACAAGUUUUAUGCAAAUAAAUUUCAAAAAAUGUGGUUAGUGGCUUUCAGUUUCACAGUCAAGCAAGCAAGUUGGGCUGUCUCAAGCGUUUUCUUCAUUUUGCCCGUUUUCAGACACUACACGGACUGAUGAGAACGUGGUUCCCAUCACGGACGAAUAAAAUAGAGGUAGAAGGGAACAUAGAGGUAGAAGGGAACAUAACACAAUUAAACGUACCUUACAAGCAGAGCUUUUCUUGGAUACAUCUAAGUCAACUUUUCUCUUCAUUUCUCUCCAUUAAAUCGCUUCAGGACACACCAGCGCCUAGAGAAAAGGACUGUGAUUUGAAUCACUCUACAAUGGCAAUUAGUAUUCGUUUUCAUGCAUUUAUCUUUCUCUAUUGGAACCCGUUGGGCCCUGAUGGAACCAACACAACUUGCAUGGCAAUAAUGAUUUCGGACCAACAGGAUUUAAGGAGAAUGGGAAGUAUUUUUUUCAAUAAAAUGAAAAAUAUGAUGUGUUCUUUUCAAGUAUAAUAGACUGGGAAGGGCUUACAACCCAUGACAACUAUGCAGCCUAUAAAUUUCUAUUCUUAUUGUAUAAUCAUCAAACUAUAUCUUGCUAUCAAAAUUGGAAGGAGAAACCAUCUCGAGGCUUGCCUUCAAGUAUAAACCAACAGGCCUAUAUAAAGUUGUUCUCAUAUGUGCCAUUCACUAAUGAUGAUUCGAGAGUUGAGGCAUUUCAGAAAAAUCUCCAGGCAUGUAUACGUUCUUUGGGCAAAAGUGGAGGAUUCCUUAGGCAGCAAAGCACACUAACACAUGACAGCAAUACUUGGCCUCAUAAACUAAUCUGCAUGAAGGUGGUGCUUCCUCUUUCGGCAACGAUUAAUAUACCAAGUGGCAUGUUUCUGUAGGCCCAUGCCCAUGAGAACCUUGAGGCUUGUGAGCAUAACAUAGGUCAUUGCUAAAAAAAGCAGAAUCCAGAAAAUUCUCCACGGAAGAGGAUUUUGAGGAAUGUUUGCAGCAAAUACUGGGGUUAGCACUCGAAUAACCUAAGAACAAGUAAUAAAAGGAAACAGUAUAUACAGACAUUUAAUCGGAUGCCAAAAAACCAGAAAAACUAAAUAAACAUAUCUAAAACUCAUUUAUGCUUACCACACACGCCGGAGCAAGGGGGACAAAGGUUAGGUUUUUCUUUACACCCUCAGUUUGCAAAUUUAGAGUCUACAUAAAGUGAACAUUCAAGGUCAGACGUAUAUUCUUAACACACAAAAAGGUUAAUGCAAUGUUCAUGUCAUACUUAUAAAGAUCCAGAAAUACAUAAUUCUUAACACACUAACAGUAGCUUUCUCAGGUGUCAACAAAAUACCAUCUUUUUGUUUCGACACAGUACACUUCUUUGCACUAAUGCAUAAUAUAGUUCUUCACUUGUUAACACUAUGGAAAUUGUUAGAAUAUUAGAAAAUAUCUUAUAAUAUCUUUUAUAUUAUAUUAGAGUAUCUUGUGUUAUUUUCUAUGAUCAAUUUAUAAUCAUAGAGAAUCUUAGAAUAUCUCUCUUUAUUAUUAUGAUUUAUUCCUAAUUUAGGAUUUAGUCUAUGUUUCUCUAUAAAUAGAGAUUAGUAUUGAGUCUAUUGUAAUCAAGUCAGCAUUAAACUAUUAUCAAUAAUAUUCAAACCCUUAUUAUUUUCUCUCCUUCUUUUCUCUAAAAUCCCACAACUUCAACAGAAAUAAACUACAUGAGCGGGAAAGAAAAAAAAAAGGGAAAGUGUUAUCCAAGACAAUUGAAAAAUCGGAAAAAAUACCAGAUUUAUUUAAUUUAGAAAACUGAACCAUAAACUUUCUUCUCAUUAAAAAUAUUGUGGCAAAUAACUGCAAAAGGCAUUUGAAAUAUAUUCAUGGAGGAUCUUGGUGCGUUCAGGUGUGUUGCUAAAAAAUCCACUCAACUUUUCAGCUAAAAUAAACAAUUUGAAUGAAGAUACAACAUUAUCUUAUCAAAGUGGUUCGUUCCAGCUGUAUAUAGAAUAUACCUUCCAAAUAAUAAACAACCAAUCAUAUUGCAUUAACAAUAUCCACAUAAGAAUAAGAAGAAAUACCUGUUUACAUAGGUCUUCAAGGAACUCAGAGUAUGCAAUGGGCUUAAUGUCAUUGAAUUUAGCAAUGAAUGAAUGCUUGAUAAUAUCAAUAGUCAUUUCACAUACAUAAACCAAGAGGAUAUUCUGCACCAUAUAAAAUAUGUGUUAGGAGCAAGGCAAAAUCCAUUGAUUCCACAUGAUAAAUUAAACUUCUUCAAUAAAUCGUAGGAGCAAAAAUAUUUCCAAAUCUUACAGUGAGAAAGCUUUCAAACCACGGACCCUCUGCCUCGAGAAUAUUUUGAGCCAAAACAAAUAAGAUAAAUGCUGAAAUAUGAAAUCUCUCCACAGAAUCUGCUUGUCACCAUAAGUAAUGGGAAAAAAUAAAUUAACAACUGACGAGACCAAAUGAAAAAAACUAAUGUAAAUGACAAAUGCAGAACAAACAUCUUAUUGAACACAUGCUCAUUUAGCCCAUUUCAAUAAAAAAAACAAAUUUGACUUGGUGCGUGCAUGUGCGUUUAAUAUUAGAUGCAAUUUCAAUGUAUGAAGUUUACAUUAUCGGUACUUCUGCAAAUAAAUUUUACUAAAAAAAGUAGCUAACCAAUAUCUAAAAAGUUAUAAACAAUUUGAGUGUGACUGUGACCAAUAGGAUGCCUGAAUUGAUGAACUUCAAUACUAUAUUUAAAAAAUACAUUACAAGUGAGUUUUAGUUAUAUCAUAUUUUAAACACUUCUUUAUGUGUAUGUAUAAUUUCAAAGCUGUUAGUUAUAUCAUAUAAUAAAAGUUGAGUUUUAUUAUAUCUAUAUAUUGAUAGCAAAACAAAUGUCAAACCUUAACUAAAUUCAAACUUUUUUUUUACAAAACAAAAAAUUGGGGAAGGGAAAAUGAUUAUUAAUAACGGUGGCACUAAUGGCCAUUUUAUAACUGUCCCAUAUAGGAUUUGAACCUUGUCCCUUGAGGUUACAAUGUCAAACUCUUACCACUAAACUGACACCUCGGGGACAUUCAUUUCAAACUAAAGGACCAUUCAUUUCAUUUGUAUCAUCCCCAACAUACAGAAGUAGAAGACAAAUAAAUUCUGCACAAGCAUGUUUGUUACGACGGAAAGAAAAACUCGAUUAUAAGUUUUGAUUGUAUGAAAGACAAACCCAAUCCUAGAGUAACCUGGAAUAAACAAACGCUUUUCCAAAUAUAUCUUCAUUAUUUAUAAUUAUAGUUAUUGCAUGACCACCCAUAAAAAUUAUAUAGAAUACAAUACAGUUCUAUUCCUAAGUAUCUGUCACAUUGGAAUAAAUUUGUCAUUUCCAUUAAAAGACUUUGCAUUCCCUUUCUGAUUCCACAAAAGUUGACUCCACUUAAACAUGCUCUUAGAAUUAUAAACAAAAAUAAAUGGAGGCAGACAAUUUAAUGCAAAAGGUUUACCAGAUCCUACUUACACGGCACAGGAGUAAGGCAUCAAAGAAGGAAAAAAACAAAACCUAGGCACUAACUCACUAAACUCAAAUAAUAGCAUUCAGAAAAAAUGCACAAGUGUUGAGGUACAAACAUAAAGAACUUUACUUCGCUUACAUCAUUAAUAAAGAAAGGGCUGUGGUCCUUUUAGUUUGACUUGUUUCCUAAUUGGUCCUUUAAUAUUUUUUCCUAUGUUGAUCCUUUAAGCUUCAAAAUGUGUAGGACAUGGUCCUUUUUUGAAUUUCCAUAUAACUCAAUUAAAAAACGUCCAUGUGGCUGUUAGAUGCUGACAUGUCCAUAAUGGUAUAGAGGUGGCGAGCCCAAAUCAGCAAAUUAUAUUUUAAAUUAAUUAAUUUUUAUUGAUAAAAAAUCUCAAAUUAAAAUUUUCAGGAUCCUCAAACCCAGAAAAAAACCCAUUAACUUCAUCCACUUCACCAUGCCUUUGAAAGGAAGAGAGCCCAAUGUUGUUUAGCUACACCGUUAUCGUCAACACCUUGUGUAAGUCCAAAAGGUUUGAUGAGAUUGCUUUUGGUUUGAUUGAGAGAGGGUUGAAGCUUGAUUUUAAGCAUGUGUUGUGCUUGUUGUUGGGUUGUGCAGAUGUGGCAAUGUCUAUUUGGCAUAUAAACUUGUUGUUGGUGUCAUCAAUGGUGGGAGCCUAAGGUUAAUCGUUUGGUUUAUAAUGCUUUGAUUAGAGGGUUUUGUACAAUGGGUAGGAUUGAUAAGGCGUUGGCAAUUGAGGGGUUUAUGAGCAGAAAUGGGUGUGUGUCGAAUUUGAGGCUUGUCAUUCUCUUGGGAUUAUGCAUAAAGGCCUCAAACCUGAGAACUUUUGUUUGACAUUGUUGAAGAAGAUGCUAUUCUCAAAACUACUGAUUCAUUGCUGGGUUUUCUCCAUUUAUAGCAUUAGCAGAGUGUUUUUUCCAUUUGGUUUUAAUUUCCGGGUUUGUAUUUUUUGGUUUGAAGAACCCUAAUUAUUAUUAUUAUAUUUGGUAAUGUACGAAAAAACAAAGGAAAAGACAAUUUAACUUGGAGGUUUUUAUUUUUAUAAAAAACAAUUUUUAAUUAUAAGCUUAUUUGGAAUUGCCACCUCAUCAUCAUUAUGAACACAUCAACAUCUAACAUCCAAGAGGGCGUUUUUCUAACAAAGUUAAACAAAAAUCCAUAAAAAGGACGAAGUUGUGCAUGUUUCAAGACUUAAAGGACCAAUAUGGAAAGAAAAAAACUUAAAUGAUCAAUCCCAAAAAAAGUCAAACUUAAAAGACUGCAUGUGUAUUUUGCCUAAAGAAAGGCAUAUCAUCUUUAAAAAAAUAUAUUGACAAGACUAGCUCAUAUAGCAUUAUGACAAUGAGGACAUGACAAAUUACAUGAAGGUGUUUUGCAUGUUGGAAUGUAGAAGUAAAAAAAAAAAAGGCCAAAUAAGCUGCAAUGGGAAAGAUAACUUACCAAAGUAAACCAAACUGUGAACAUUAUCCUUGCUGUAUCGCUUAAACACAUUGCUUUUAAUCUCAGCAAAAUUAUUUGACACCAGCAAAGCUAACAAUGCGUUGUUGUGAGAAACUAUACAGGUUGAUAAUGUGAUUGCCUGAGCUAAUAAAAUAAAAGAAUGAACAAGUAAGACUGGUUAAGGAAUCACAAGCCUAUAGUUUUUUCUUGUCUUAACAGAAGAAAAUAGUUAUCCAAAACCAAACAACCGUGGAAAAGUCAUCCCAAUGAGAAAGGAUAUUUGAAGCUACCACAGCUAAAGCUUGGUCACAAACAAAUUUCCAAAGCCAGAAUCUCAUAUUUUCUGGAGGGCAACUUGCUAGUCCUUCAGCAGAAUGAAAUGAUGUUUGCAACACAUCCCCAUUAAAACUUUGGCACAAUUUAUCAAAUAUCUGCAAGAACUUCAAAUAUCAGUCACAAGCACACAAUAUAAAUUUCACUAUGGAUAUUGUGAUUUUUGACAUUUAUGGAAUUAACAGAAAGUAGGUAACCAAAAGUAAAAUCUCUGGUUGCUUAGAUUACAAUUUCAGUACUUGUGAACUGAGCUUUCGAACACCAAAAGACUACUGAAUACCGAUAUGGAAAUACAAUCAUAAAUCAUUUAUAUCAACCAUCCAUCCUGCCCCUAUUGUUAAGUUUCCCUUUUGGGUUGUCCCAAAUCUCACCUAAGGCAAUAAAAUUCGGCCUUUUUCUUUUUGCCACUUCAGGUUUCACUACUUUAUAUGAUCAAAUCAAAACUAACAGCGCUACUGCCUUAAAAUGGGUGUGAUGACAAAUAAAAAAGUUGGAGAUACAUAAUGAUUACUAAUAAUUUCAAAUAUAGCCAAUUUUGAUCUCAUCAAAUGUCAGUUUAAUGAUUUACGUAUAUAAUAAAAAAAAUUAUUCUUCCAUAUUCUGAAAAAUUCCCUUACUUUGUCACUCCAACAUCUUGCUUGCACAAACUCAUAAUAACAUAAAUAUAUACGGUGAUUGAAUUUUUCAAUGUGGAGAGCUAAUAGUUCCCCAUAAUCCAGAUUAACAAAUUAAUUUAUGCUCACCUCUAAAACAUUGUACACCACAUACAAUUUUAUUGUUCCUUGACCGCGGAUCAUAUGAUAUAUUAAGCUGAUAUCUGAGGAAGCAAGUUUUAAAGAGGGAAUGGAACAAAUUAGUAUAUCAUGAAACUUGACUAAUACCAAAAGGAUUGAUAUAACAUACAGUAAGGGGAGUAGAGAAUCAUUAUACCUGUUCGCUGCAAAAGAACCACUCCGCAACUCAUAAUAACAAAACAGCCAAAAUCUGACAAUUCCAUUGUAGAGAGCCUCUUGAACUGUCUGUCACAAGCAUGAUUAGGUCAUAUUGAAGCACUAAAAACCAUGAUAGACUAUCACAAAAUUUAAAACAGAACACAAAUUGAACCGAAUAAGGGAAUACAAAUCAAAGCCCAAGAACAUGUAUUCAGAAGAGAUUUGUCAGCUAACAGAGAAUCAUGAACUAACUCGGUCUGUGUAUAAAUUAACAACUAAACCUGUGUCUUAUAGAUUGAACUAACAGCAUAAUUUGGGAUGCCAUGGUUCCAGGAAAACCACUUUGUUUCAUAAUUUAGAGAUUUAAAAUGACAUCUAAAGCAUAGUAAGAUUGUACUCAAUGGACACAGCUUAAAUACAAGUUUAAAUUAAAGAAACUGGUGUUGUAAGAUUAAUCUAUCCCCUAAAUCCUCACAUUAUGCCUAGCUAACAUUUUAUUACAAGGGAAGAAAAAUUAAGUAAAGGAGGCAAACCUUGUCUUAAGAAUCCUCCAAAUGGUCAUCAAGAUCCUCGUUGGCAUAAUAGUUAAUAAUGAAAGAAAUGAAUCGAAGCAGACAAAGAAGCCAACAUCUAUAAGCUGCAAUUGCAUUCCAUGUUUAAGAUACCAAAAUACAAAAUUCAGAAUACAUUGAUAAAAAUAUGCAAAUAUAAUGCAUAAGUGGAAGGUUUAAGUUUUACUUCUUUUCCCCUAAACAUUUUAAAUUAUUUUGAUUAUUGUGGAGGAAAGGCACAGGAAGCUAAACAAAGAGAAGAGGUCCGUUGAUGAUAUAACAAGAAUAGAACCAGAAAUCAUUUUUGCUUAUGUUUCCUUUUAUUUGGGAAAAGGAAUUGUACCCAUUCGCAUCUCCAUGGCAAGCGGAAGAUAGUGUCAUAAACUCUCUCUCGUUCUAUUUCAUUGCCAAGAGUAGUAGUACUCCGUAACGAAUUUCCAUUGUACAUUUCCUCCAAGAAGUAUGCUACAGGAGACUUAUCUACUGUGAACACAUCUGACAUCAAAACACAUCACCACUAGGUUAAUUAAGCCAAAAAAGCAUAUACAGCAUGCAUAAAAUAAAAUGACAAGUAAGAGAGUUGAACAAAAAAUUGCUUUGCAUAAACAAACUAGAGGUCAGAGACCAUAUAUUACUAGUAUUGAUUCCUAAAUAAGCAGCAGGAGCGUAAUAAGAAAACAGGCAAAGGAUUUUAGCCAUGUCAAAACCGCACAUUAUUUUUCACUGCCAUGCAUUAUUCUGUCAGUUAUCAUGCCACCAAGCCUGUGUAAUUUGGUCAUAGCAUAGAUUAAAAAUAAAAAUUGAAGCAGAACAUGCAAUAUAAGAAAAACCUGCAGAUCUAGGUAAGUAGCUAGUUGGAUGCAGGCAUGAACUAGAACAGCAAAAGAAAAGCCAGACUUGCAAACUACAAUUGAAUUUGGAUUUAAUAUGAACUCUACCAUAAUUAAAGUAGCAUAGAAUUAAUGAAUGGCAUUUGGAACAUGAUUAGCAUUAAUGCAAAAUUUUUUGAACCAUUAGAAAUUUAUGAAGCUAAUUCUUGAAAGCUAAGCAAGAAUUGAUUAGUUUAAUUUCCUUCAAAUUGCAAAUAACAGUUUGAUCAAAUAUUGAUUUAUAAGUUCAAUUUUCAUAAUAUGUAUUCAGUGGAGAUAGUUUCUGAUAAAUCGCUACAAAAAAGUACGAAAUGCAAUGUUGCAUGCAGAGCAAGAACUCACAAUUCGGAUCUUCUGCCAUGAUCCGCUUCCACUCCACCGAUUCAACCGUUUCCGAUUUCGUAAGGACGCUCCUUUCAGAUACGUUUAUCGGUUUCUCCACCGGACUCGCUUUAACACUACAAUCUUCCUUCCCAAUCCCAUCGCUACAAUUGUCCUUCUCGAUCCCACCGCUAAAAUUGUCCUUCUCAAUCCCACCGUCAUCGCCAACCACCGAAGCAGCUAAAUCCUCAGUACUUCCACCAUUCACAUUCCUCUGCCUCAAUUCACCGAAAUUAAACCCUUCUACGCCACCACGCACGCUCGUCGGAAACGCAGAACCUCCCUCAGGCGCCGAAGUAACGGCACAGACGCUCGCUUCAGUCGCUUCCUCGCACACGACGCAUCCUCCGGUAGCGCAGUAACUCAUAGCGUGGAGCUCGAAACCGUUACAUGAUCGUCCGUUUGUGAGCGGAGCUUCAGUAAUCCGGUGCGGAUCGUCGGAAUUAGCGACGGAAUCUACGGGAUCGAGAAGCUUCUUUUUCCUCUUGGAUGCUCGGUUUUUGCGCUUCUUGCGAUCGGGUAGAGUUGUUAGAUCGGAUUUGGAACGGUGUAAAAGAGAGACUUCUUCUUCAUCGAGUGGAGUUCGGCGGAGAACCUCGAAGGAGAGUUUUGUGCCGGCGGUUCUCAACGCCAUGGCAAGAUGAGAUUACCAAAUUGGCUAUGAACGUUGAGAAAAGGGUUUUGGUUAUUACAUGUGAUUGGAGAAUUGAGUUAUGGUUGGUUGGGGCAUUUGGUGAUUGAUUUUCGUCUUAUUAGAAGACUGUGUGAGAUGAGGAUAAUCAGAAUUUGCGAGCCCAGCUUUCAUUCGCGCUUUCCCAUAUCCCACUGCUUUUUUUCCCUUACCAGUUAAUGCCACUCACUGUUCUGCAUGUAGUUUUUUUUAUUAGUAUGGUUUUUCACCGUUAAUUAUGUUUAUUUAUAUUUAAUUGAUAAAAAAAUUGCACCAAAAAUUAUUAUCGUUGUUUUAAACUUAUAAUUUACAUGGAAAAGAGGUAAAAAAAAAUAAUCUUGAAUUCAUUUGAGAGUUAAGCAAAAAUUAUGCAAGAUAGCAUACAACUUGAACUCUGUUUGUCAUUAACUAAAUUCAUCCAUCAUUGAAUACUUAUUUUAGACAAAUAAAAAUAUUAUUAUUGAAUAUUUAAAAAUAAUUGACUGUAAUUGAAAAUUACUUUAUACUAUUAGCAUACACAAAUGUCUAAAAAUAUUUUACAUAAUUGUUUAAUAAUAAUAUUAUUUAUUUGAUUAGGUUUAAUAGCAUAUUAUCAUCUCGUUUAAUGAGUUUAUAAACUUAUAAUUUAUCAUAUUCAUUAAAUAAUGUGACAAAUGACAACGGAUCAUUCAAUUGUGUAAAAUAUUUUUAGAUGUAAACUAAAUUUAGCUAAUAAAUAUUUUUUAUUUUCCAUUCAAAAUCAAUAAAUAUUUUCUAUUUAAUAUUUUUAGUUUAGUUUUUAUCAAGUAUUUACUUUAUAUAUCGGAUAAAAUAAUAACUAAAACGAAACAAGUUAAAUGUGAAACAAAAAAUUAACCGUGCAUUAAACUAAUUUAAAGAAAAGGAAAGAAAGGAACUACUAAAUAUUAACAAGUUAAAUUUUGAAUACAUGAUAAUUAAUUAAAAUAAAAAAUAAGUUUGGGUACCAGAUUUUUUUUAAUUAAUAAAUAGAAUUAAAAUUUUAAUUAUUUUUAAAAAAUAAUAAUUUAUUAAUUUAAAUAGAAUGGUGGUUGGUGGCCGCUGCCGGACUAACGUGGUGGCUGAGCGCCGCCUUCGAUCAACAUCUUUAUUAUUUUAUUAUUAAUUAAUUAAUUAAUUAUAUAGUUAAAAGUAACAAUAAAAACUAUUUUUAAAUAAAUUUAAAAGAAAAUUAAAAACAAUAAUUCUUUUGUAACUUUUUAAUAUUUUAAAAACCGAUUUAUAUUUAAAAUAAUAUAAAAAGAGUUUUAUUAAUAUUUAAAAAAUUUAAAUAAUAAAUAAAUUGAUUUUAGAAUAAUAAAAACUAUUUUUUACAAUAAAUAAAAAACCAUAAUUAUUAUUAUUAUUAUUAUUAUUAUUAUUAUUAUAAGUAUAAAAUUUAUUAUAAUAUUGCAAAAAUUAAGUGGAUCGGAUAAAUAUGCAUUCAUUGAAAUAUGAUAAUUAGAUAGAUUUGACGAUUUUAAAUGGUUGAUGUUUUUUAUAUAUAAUUUUUUUCUCUUUACUCAAGUCACACAUCAACACUUAUAUAAGGAGUAGAUCCUCCAUUUCAUCCAUGAUUUUGUUAAUUUAUAUCAAUUUAAUCUCUCAUUUGGUCAUGAUUUUGAAAUAAUCACUUAAUUUUUUUCCCAUUCAUCAAUAUAUUUUUUAGGUCUAUUUGAAUUUAUUUAGUAAUGAAACGUUGUCAUUAUUGUUCAACAAUGUUUGACUAUUUUUAAUAUUUUUAAAUUAAUUAUUUAAAGUUAGAAAAUCCUUCUUUAAUAUAAUACACCAAAUAUAAAAUUCUUCUUCUUCCUCGCACCUUACAAAAAUAUCUAUUGUAUUUUCUCAAACUUAUUGUCUUGUUCAAACGUCAAAAAAUAGAUAAACAUUACAUCAAUUAUAUUCAUGUUCAUAUCAUAAUAACUACAUUCAAAAUCAUUAACAAUAGUGUUUUUUCUUUAUUAGGGUUUUUUCUCAUAAAAACAAAAGACAACUGAAGAAUUUCUUGAUACAUAUUUUAUCAAAUCCUAAAUUAACAGUAGUGUUUUUCUUUUUUUAUAGAUGGAGUAAAUUGAGAGACAUCAUUCAUCAUUUUCGUUAUUUUUUUUGUAAAUAUAGUAUAAUUUAUAGAAAAUAUACAGAAGUAGAAGAAUACAUUAAUGGAGAAAGAAAAUAAAAUUGAGGAAGAAAACUUAUCAAUAAUAUGUUAUAUAAAAAUACAAUUUGUUACAAUUUAGUCUUCAAUAUUAUUUUUUUAUUAAUUAAUAUAUAUGAUAACUUUUCUAAUUUAAAUAAUGUCAAAUAUUAUUCUCAAUAUUAUUGUGUAUUAGUUAGUUCACUAUAUUAACUCAAAGACUCAUAAUGCGAAUAGACUAAUUUAUUAUACUAGAUUAUAAGCUUGUUGGAUUAAAAAUAUGUUUUUGGUAAAUAAGUUUUUCCCAUCGACUUAUAAUUCAUCUGAGAUAUUAUUUCAAGUAACAUUUGAGUUUAUAACUUAUAGUUUUUUAUAUUCCUUUUAUAACCUUAUUAUUUUAUUUAUUUAUUUUAUCUUUAUUAGGCUCCGUUGUUAAAAUGAAGCUAUAAGUUAGUUUAUAUAUAGUUGAUAAUUGAUGACUUAUAGCUCAAAAACUAAUUAAGUAAAAUUAAAGUGUUUGAUAAAUUUAGCUUUUAACAAUAUAAAAUGUAAUAAAAAACAUGAUUAUUUAAUUUAAAAUAAUAAAAAUGUGAAAUUUUUAUUCAAUCUUCUGCCUAUUGGUUUAGUCGAUUUUUUUUUGUACUCAAUCUAUUUUUUUACUUCACUUUAUUUCUUAUGUUAUCUUCUUCUCUAUGUCGUUACACUUUAUUUCUCGUGUUUUCUUAUUCUCCAUGUCGUUAGUUAGUUGAUGUUAUCUUAUAACUUUCACUUUUCUCAUCGACUUUUGUUUCUCCCGAUGUUCGCCCAAUUCACCUGAUAUGUCUCUCAUGUUUUCUCGUUUAUUUAUUUUACCAUAUUUCUCUCAUUUAUGAUUUUUGUGGUAGAAAAUCCAAAAAAAAUAUAACAAAGUUCUAAAUAAAUAAAAAAAUGGAAUUCAUUUUUUGGGGUACAUUAGUUACAUUUUUUUUUAUUACAAUAUAAACUUAAAUUUGAAGAGUUAUCUAAAAGUUUAAGAAACUCCAUGCGUAUAAAUAGUAAUAGUAAAAAACAAUUCAUUUUACAAUUUACAAUUUGACAUAAAAAAGUAAAUUUAACUUUAUGAAUUUUUUGUCAGAUAAAUAAGAUGAAAUAUUUUAUGAGUUAUUUUGGCAAGGAAUUAAAGAAAUUGAGUCAAACUAUAUUCAUGCAUAUCUUUUUCAAUUUUGUGUUAUGUGACAUAGAUUUUUGGCAUUAAUAAGUUAAUUUUUUUGGCAAUGAUUCAAAGAAUUGAUGUGUUAUGUAGAAGUAAUAGUAUCACCCUAAAAAAACAAAAAAACACAAAAAAAAAAAAAAAAUAUAAGUAAUAGCAUCGAGAAAAAGAUACUAAAGAUAGUGGUUGAAGAGUAAGUUAGUGAGACGGUUAUGUUUUAUAUAUAUAAAUUAAUAAAAAUAAAAUAAUGAGGUUAUAAAUAGAAGAAAGUUUAAAAAGUUAUAUACUCAAACAAUACUUGAAAUAAUAUCUUAGAAUAAAUUAUAAGUUUGUGAGAAAAACUUGUUUACCAAACACAUUUAUUUAAUCCAACAAACUUAUAAGUUAACUUAUUGACAUUACCAAAUAGUGUCUUUAUACAAAAUAAGUAUUUCACUCAUUCACCACUCUAUCACCCACUAGCUCACAGCUUCGCGUAUAUCUUAUUCUCGUUGAACAAAGUUAAGUUUCUUUAAUUUCUUGACAAAAUAACUCAAAAAAAGAUAAUGUUAUUCAUUUUACGAGAAAUCGAUUAAGGUAUGUAUGGUCAUAUUUAUUGUUAUUUCUUUAUAUUCUAAUUAAAGUUAAAUUCAUUUUUAUGCCAAAUUAUAAAUAUAAAUGAACUGCAUUGUUUUUACGAUUACUAUUUAUACAUAUAUGAGAAUUAUUAAAUAUUUAGAUAACUUAAAUUUAUGUCUGUAUUGUAAUAAAAAAAAUAAAUAAUAUAACAAAAGAUAAUAAAUAAAUUACAUGGAUAUAGUUUUAAUUUCAAAGUUUUGCUGUAUUUUUUUAUUUCUCAAUAAAAAUAAAAUAAAGUGAAAAAUUGAUUUUAAAAAAGGAAAAUAAAGUAAAACAACGCUCAAGAAAAAUUGAAUACAAAUAUCAUAUUUUUUGUUAUUUUAAAUUAAAUAAUUAUAUAUUUUUAUAUUAUUAAAAAUUAAUUGUAUUAAAUAAUUUAAUUUAGAUUAACUAACCUUUCAACUAUAAAUUAUCAAUUAUUAACUACCAAGUAACUUUUCAACUGUGAACUAAUUUAUAGUCUAGGGAAUGGAGUCAAAGUUGAUUAUUUACUACUUGUUGAUGUGUCAAAAUAACACACCUGGUUGGAUAUAAAGAAUAUAGGUGAGAAGGUGUAAGUAGUGUGAGAAAAUCAAAUGGCAACAGUCUCUUGUAAGAACGACCCCGAAAUUCAAAUUUAUUGGUGUUAAAUUAAGAUCUCUCUUACAAAUUACUACCCGCGUCCCUGAAUCUCUGAUUCCUUUCUAGUAAUAGUACUACUAUACCAUCAUCAAUCUUUCAAACUUUCAUCCAUACCUCCACGGUAUCUACACCAUCGUCGACGACGACACUUACUGGUACGCUUUUAUUUCACACAACGAGCCAAGGUCGUGACGCCGAUCUCUGAUCUAUAUACAAUAUUGUCUGAUUUAUGAUUUUUCAAUUGAAAAAUACAUUAGACUUACAAUUUAAUUUUCAAAAGCAUUAGAGUUACGAGAUCCCAAGAAAUGUGUCUUACAUUAUGUCUAUUCAGAACUCACGCUUAAAUUCUUAAUACUUGAAGCUUGCUUAUCGCUUGAAAAACUCAAUCUCGCUGUACUGUUUACCCGAUGAUUUUAUCCUAGCUAUGUGAAUUGUGCAGAAUAUACAAUUAAAUUAUAUACUACAACAUGGUUUUUCUUGUUCAUUAUUAUAAUGUGUUUUAAAUUGGGAGUUUUGUCUUGUUUACAUGUAAUUUUGGUUUAGAAAGCUCAGUUAUUAUAAGAUAAAAGAAAAUUUAUUUUAAUUUAAUAAAUUACUCAGAAAACAAAAUUUAUGCUGAGACGGGACGUGAAUUGCAAGGUCAAGGUGUCUCAAGCAUUGUUUGGCUAUGAUUUCUUUAUCUUUAAAUUGAACAGCAUAGCUAUGUUUGCUUCACCUUAGUCUUUCGCCGUUGCCCUUCAUCCACUCUUAUUCAAAGCACAUAGUAGGCUCCAAAACUCCCCUAAGUAAUGUCUUGCUCACAGCCGCAGGGGAAGUCCUUAACAGAUUCAGCCCCCCACCCCCCAUAAGAAACCUUAUUCUUAAUUUCACUGAAUGGCCAUGUUUUGUGUUUAUUAGUACCUCUAUGUAUUACAUAUGCUUAUGUUGAUUUGCGCAAAUUGGAAAAAUAUGAGGAAUGGAAAUUGCAUUUGACUAACUCAGAUUGAUGGACUUUGCCACAAGAUGGCUGUUUUGCAGUAAAGGGGGAAAAAUUAUGAAAAGAAAAUGCCAGGAGUCAGAAAAUUCAAAUAGAGGCCAAGUUAGCUACCCCAAAGUUUGUUUAUUCUCUGUAUAUUUUAUUCUUUAUCUAUCUCUGGAUACUUGCUCAGAUGUUGAGAAUGAAAUGAUUGGUUCUUGUUAGUUUUUCUUUAGAUUGUGCUUGGAAAGUACUACUUUGCUGAUGUUAUAUAUGUUGUAUGUGUGGUAGGUACUCAUAGAGAGAGACGCCAUGGUGUCUUCCACUGGGGUUGCUACUGCACAACCUCUUUUUUCUUUUGGAUUGAUUUCUGACGUCCAAUACGCUGACAUUCCCGAUGGUCGCUCAUUCCUUGGUGUUCCACGGUAUUAUCGGCAUAGUAUUCUUGUUCUGCAGAGAGCAGUUAAAGAAUGGAAUACUCAUCAGAAGCAUAAGUUUGUGAUUAAUUUAGGAGAUAUUGUUGAUGGGUUUUGUCCCAAAGAUCAAUCUAUUAAUGCUGUAAAGAAGGUUGUGGAUGAAUUUGAAAUGUUUAGAGGACCUGUGUACCAUAUGAUUGGCAAUCACUGUCUGUACAAUCUUCCUCGAAGCAAGUUACUUCCAUUAUUGAAGAUUCAAACCCUUGAUGGUCAUGCUUACUAUGAUUUCUCACCGGUGCCUGACUAUAGAUUUGUAGUUCUCGAUACCUAUGACAUCAGUGCCAUUGGUUGGCCUCAAGAUCAUCCAAGAGCAUUGGAAGCCAUGCAAUUGCUUAGAGAGAAGAACCCAAAUGAAGAUAAGAACAGUCCAACAAAUUUGGUAGGGGUUGAAAGAAGGUUUCUUAUGUUUAAUGGAGGCGUUGGAAAGGAACAGAUGGAAUGGUUGGAUGGUGUUCUUCAGGAUGCAACCAAAUUGAAACAGAAGGUGGUUGUGUCUAGCCAUCUGCCUCUAGAUCCUUGUGCAGCAACCGAGGAGGCACUAUUGUGGAAUUAUGAUGAAGUGAUGAAUUUGAUACACAAAUACAAUUGUGUUAAGGUCUGUCUUGCUGGACAUGAUCAUAAAGGUGGAUACUCCAUUGAUUCUCAUGGUGUACACCAUAGAGUUCUUGAAGCUGCUCUUGAAUGUCCUCCCGGCACAGAUGCAUUUGGAAGCGUUUAUGUCUAUGAUGACAGAAUAUCACUUGUAGGAAUUGACAGAAUGGCGAGUACAGACAUGUAUUUUAGUCACCAAUAAUUUCAAUUUGUAUGACAUAAAGUGUUGAUGUUUGGAAGACAUUAUUUAAUCAAUAAUUUAUAGAGUACCUAUGAUCUCUAUACAGCAUACUACUCAAAUUUGAACGGCAACAUGCUCCUUCCUUUUGAGAGAGGCAAGAAUGCAACGUGCAGCAUUAUUGGGGUUAGUUACCUAUGUGCUUGGCUAAUUAGUCUUGUAAAACUGUUGCAAUUUGGCUUAAUUGCUUUGCAUAUUUUCACUGAAAACCUUAUAUUGAUCAUGUAACUGUUGUUUACAUAUUCUAGUCACUCAAUCUAAUACAUAUUAGGGGAAUUACAAUCCUUUAAUCUUAUUUGAGAUAAUAAACAUAUUAUGUUGAGGUGCCGAACCACGUAAAUCUUUAUGUGAGUUAUUUUAUUAGAUCAAUAGUUUUUUGAGGUUUCAUGGCCUCAAUAAAUAUAUAGCACCAUAAGUGAAUUAAUAGCAUAUUUUCCACAAAAUUUCAUUGUUGAAAAACCAAACAUAAAUGUGAAGAGUGUUGUCAAGAGCGACAACGAUGAUGAUAGAGGUCGAAGGUGUUUGAUUGCAUAUACAGUGAUGGUAAUUGUUGAAUAAGAGAAAAUGAGAGAGACAUAUGGUGAAACCGUGUGUCUGAACUACACAACGGAGUCUGUUUUAUAUAGGCUCAAGGCAAUAAAUACAAAAAUAAAUAUGGGAGAUAUUAUCCCUACUUACAUGAUAUGUAAUAAAUAUAAAUAUAUUUUCAACACUCCCCCUCAAGCUGGAGCAUAUAAAUCAUAUGCACCAAGCUUGUUACAUAUAUAACUGAUUCGAGGACCUCUCAGAGACUUAGUGAAUACAUCUGCCAAUUGAUCAUUGGAAUUAACAAAACUAGUGGUGAUGUCGCCUGAUUCGAUCUUCUCCCUUACAAAGUGACAAUCUAUCUCAAUAUGCUUGGUCCUCUCAUGAAAAACUGGAUUAGAGGCAAUGUGCAAUGCUGCUUGAUUAUCACAUAUUAAUGUCAUUUGUGUUGCCUCUUCAAAUUGAAGCUCUUUGAGUAACUGUUUCAACCAAAUGAGCUCACAAGUCACUAAUGCCAUAGCCCUGUAUUCAGCUUCAGCGCUAGAUCUUGCAACUACACUUUGUUUCUUACUCUUCCAAGAUAUUAAGUUUCCUCCAACAAGUACACAAUACCCAGAAGUGGAUCGCCUAUCAAUGGGUGAGCCUGCCCAAUCGGCAUCUGAAUAACCAACUAUCUGAGUAUGUCCUCUGUUUUCAUAAAUUAGACCUUUUCCUGGAGCACCUUUAAUGUAUUUCAAGAUUCGUAUCACAAUAUCCCAGUGUUCUUGACAAGGAGAAUUUAAGAAUUGACUUACCACACUGACUGCAAAAGAAAUGUCUGGACGGGUGACUGUGAGGUAGUUUAAUUUACCAACCAAUCUUCUGUAUCUCCCUGAAUCUAAAAAUGGCUCCCCAUGAUUAGGUAGAAGUUUGACGUUUGGAUCCAUAGGAGUGUCAACCGGUUUGGCAUUCAACAAACCUGUCUCUUCAAGAAUAUCCAUAGCAUAUUUUCUUUGUGAAAUUACUAAGCCGUCCUUAGAUUGGGCUACCUCAAUACCCAAGAAGUAGCGGAGCUUGCCAAGAUCUUUAGUUUGAAACUGAUGAGAUAAAUGUUGUUUCAAUUGGAGUAUGCCCUGUUGAUCACUACCAGUUAUGACAAUAUCAUCUACAUAGACAAUCAAGUAAAUGCACCCUUGGGUUGAGUGACGAUAAAAAAGAGAAUGAUCAGCUUCACUUCGAAUCAUGCCAAAUUGUUGCACUACUGUGCUAAAUCUACCAAACCAAGCUCGAGGAGACUGUUUAAGACCAUAGAGAGACCUCUGAAGUCGACAAACCAUGGUAGAGGACUCCCCCUGAGCAACAAACCCAGGUGGUUGCUCCAUAUACACUUCUUCUUCAAGGUCACCAUGCAAAAAAGCAUUUUUAAUGUCAAGUUGAUGUAGAGACCAAUGUCUGAUGGCUGCAAUAGAGAGGAGUAGUCUAACAGAGGCCAUCUUAGCCACAGGGGAGAAAGUAUCACUGUAAUCGAGGCCAAAAACUUGAGUGUACCCUUUUGCUACCAAACGAGCUUUAAAACGAUCAAUCUUACCAUCAGGACCAACUUUCACCGUAUAAAGCCAACGACAUCCUACUAAAGACUUUCCCGACGGUAAAGGAACCAAUUCCCAUGUACCACUACUCUGAAGUGCACACAUCUCGUCAAUCAUUGCUUGUCUCCACUCUGGGUGAGAUAAAGCUUCACCUGGAGAUUUAGGAAUAGAAACAGAAGACAGGGAAGACAAACAAGUAUAAUGCAAAGGAGAAAGACGAUGGUAACUCAAGCCAAUGUAAUGAGGGGAUGGGUUACGAGUAGGACGUAUACCUUUACGAAUAGCAAUAGGAAUAUCAAGGGUCGGAUCCGAUAAAGAAGGAGGUGGCGGUGAAGGAGCGUCUGGAGUGACCUCGGUAUCAAGAACAGGUGUAGGGACAUGUACAACCGAUGGUGGUUGACGACGACGAUAUGUCUGAAGAGGUUGUACAGUUGGAGGAUCAACAAGAGGAGUCUCAAGUGGGACAGUGGGAGGGGCCACAGGAGGUGUCUCAGGUGGGGCAUACGUAAUAGGCUCUAAUGGUAAAAGAGAAGGUGAAAUAGACUUUGGUAGGUCCAGAGGAAUAGUUGCAGACAAAGGAUCAGGAAGCGACUCAUAGUAUGUAACAGACUCAAAAAAUGUGACAUCAGCCGAUAUGAGAUAUCGUCGAAGAGUAGGAGAAUAACAACGAUAACCUUUUUGGGACCGAUGAUAACCCAGAAAGACACAUUUUAAUGAUCGAGCUGAAAGUUUGUCAAGACCAGGAGUGAGAUUGUGGACAAAACAUGUAGAUCCGAAGACCCGAGGAGGAAGUGAGUGAAGAGGGGUACCAGGAAAGAGGAUCGAGUGAGGGACUUUGUUAUCAAGAGCAGACGAAGGCAUGCGAUUUAUAAGAUAGCACGCCGUUAGAACAGCAUCGCCCCAAAAGCGAGAUGGUACAUUACCAUGAAGAAGGAGAGUACGAGUGGUUUCAAUAAGGUGCCGAUUUUUGCGUUCGGCUACCCCAUUUUGUUGAGGUGUAUGAGCACAAGAUGUUUGAUGAAGAAUGCCGUUAGAGGUCAUAAAAUUUUGAAAUUGAUGGGACAAAUAUUCACGGGCAUUAUCACUGCGCAAAGUGCGAAUGGAUACACCAAAUUGAGUUUUAAUUUCCUUAUAAAAUUGUUCAAAAAUAGAAAAUAAUUCAGACCUAUUUUUCAUUAAAAAUAACCACGUACAACGGGAAAAAUCAUCGAUAAAGGUAACAAAAUAUCUAGACUCAAGUGUGGAAAUAGUACGAGAGGGACCCCAAACAUCUGAGUGAACUAAAGCAAAUGGGGAGGAAGCUCGUUUAUUAGCUCGAUCAGUGAAAUGACUACGAGUGUGUUUCCCUAAUUGACACGACUCACAAUUUAAGCUAGAUAUUUUGGUUAGAUUAGGUACUAAUUGUUGAAGUUUGGGAAGACUCGGAUGACCUAACUGAGCAUGUAUAGUAAGAGGAGAAUAUGUGGUAGGGCACGCUGUUGAUGGGUUUGAGAGAUAAUAAAGACCAUUAGACUCACAUCCGACACCAAUUUGUCGUCCUGAUAUUCGGUCUUGCAAAGUAACAUUGCAAUUAGUAAAUGUGACAACACAGUCAUGAGAACGAGUCAAUCGACUGAUAGAAAUUAAAUUAAAUGGGCAUCCAGGCACAUAAAGGACAGAUUUAACUAACAGAGUAGGGAGGAUUUGGACAGUGCCAAUCCCUUGAGACUGUGUUUGGGAACCAUUGGCUGAGACUAUCCUAGGUAAAUAACCAGAUGUUGUGAGAGAGGAGAAAAGAGUCUUAUUACCAGUAAUGUGAUCAGAUGCACCAGAAUCGAGAAUCCAUGGGCUAUGAGAAGGUGAGAUGCAAACAGGUGAAUUACCACUUUGUGCGGCGGAAACAGCGGAACUCGAGUUCUGACAAUACUCUCUCCACCGAAGAAAAUCUUUAUAAGUAGCCAUAAUCAAUAAGUAGUUACCUAAAAACCAGCAGCGAAACAAUGGCGGAAUAUGGUUUUUUUUUUCGAUGAACAGUACCGCGCGAUGAACAGUGUCGCUCAAUGAACAGUGUCGCGCGAUGAACAGUGAACAGUGGAGAAAAAAAUGAACGAAAAAGCGACAAAGAAGGGUAAACCGGAAUUGAGACACGGUUUACCGAAAAAAAAUCUCACCGAAGGACAGUGGGUCCCGGGGUAAUCACGGUAUAGGGUUGUCUCUCUUAAUAGGCUCUAGAUACCAUGUUGAAUAAGAGAAAAUGAGAGAGACAUAUGGUGAAACCGUGUGUCUGAACUACACAACGGAGUCUGUUUUAUAUAGGCUCAAGGCAAUAAAUACAAAAAUAAAUAUGGGAGAUAUUAUCCCUACUUACAUGAUAUGUAAUAAAUAUAAAUAUAUUUUCAACAGUAAUGAUAGAGUGCAACCAUUUCUAAUAAUACUGGAUAAUUCUCUUAAUCAUACCAUGUUAUCUAUUUGGGGAAGACAAUCUUUAUAGUUUUUUUUUCUCGAUUUGAUUGUUGUUUUCAAUUAUCAGAUCAUCACUUAACUACCAAUCUACCAUCAACGUUGACAGUAACAAAAAGACCGCAUUGGUAUAAUAUUUGAAAUUGUAAUUUGUAAUAUGAGAAAUCAUUUGGUGACAAAUAAUACAUGAGAGAUCAGACUAUAACCCAAAAUAAAGAUAAGAACCAAAAUUAUAACUAACCUAUAAAAUAUUUCUUUAUCACACUCAUGCUUAGCACAAGUAUUUCAACUAGAAAAUUUAUAUUUUUACUCAUGUUUAGCGCAUGUACAUCAACUAGUAAAUUUAUAAUACUAUUAUGACAUAAAAAGAAUUAAACUCAAUGAAAGUGUGCAGCAAACAAUAUUUUACCAGAUCAUAACAGUAGUAUAUUCAUAAACUAAUUAACUAAAAGAGAACGAUGGGAAUAAAAGACUUUUGUAUUUUUGCUUUGGUGUUCCUGAUGUCUAUAUCAUUACUGGUCACCACCAAACACUAGUCCUCACUUUCCGGGACACCAACUCUCAUUCACAUGCAUGAGUCUUUAUGUGGCCAAAUACAGACAUUCAGUUCAGUAAUCUAAUGUUUAUAUAUAAUUUCUGUUAUAUAGUCAUAUGUAUACACUAUUGUAUUAUAAAAUAUAAUUAGAUAACGUACACAUACACCUCUGGUUGAUAUAAUAUAACUCAGUUUUCAAGACUAGAUCAAGAAAAAGUAAAAGAGUAGUAUUUUCCAACGGAGUAGAUGACAGAUGUAGAUAGAUAUGGACACAGAUGCCUCUGGACAGAGAAUUAUUGUUGGGCACGUGCUUUGUGACAAUCUCUUCCCUCCAUUAUGUACAUUUGUUUCUACAACCCCAGCUUUUUUGGCCCCACAAGCCUUUAUCAGUUACUUAAACACAUAACUGUGUGGUUGGAUUGAAAGUGACUGCAGAAUCACAUUGUGAUAUUAUAAUUUUAGCAAAAACUAUACUUCAAAGCUUUAACAAAUUCAUACUGUCAAAUGUCAAUUAUCAUAAGUUUACUAAAUUCACUGUUAUCUAAUCGUGCAUAAAAGUAUAUAUUUUUUUAAUUAUAUGGUUAUCAAAACAACACCUUUAGGCUGAGACAUAUCAUGAAUGAUACAUACUUUUCAUUCAACCUUCCAAGCAUAUAAAAACAAGCAAAACUCUGAUGAUGACUCACUGACACAAUGACCCUCCACUGACUCAGAAGUACUACUACUCUUUGUCUGAGUUGAUAAGGGAGUGGAUGAAGAUGAGGAUGAUAAAGGUGGUGAAAAUAUAGACAGUGGUGACAUAGAAUUAGAUGAAAAAACAGGCUUAAAAAUGAACAAAGCGUGCUUUAAACCAGGACUAAAAAGCCAAUCAUGAACAUCCCAAUAUACCUCAACUCUCAUUUUGUUAAGAUGAAUUGACUCAUUGCCUCUAAAUUUCCAUUGCAAAUGCUUCACAUGAAUCGCCAAGUGCCCAUCAAAUCUUAUCUCCAUCUCUGGUUGAACUUGAACUUGUACCCCACUCGUUACAGAAUCUCCAUCUCCAACAUUAUUAUUAUUUACCUUAUUCUUGCACUUUAUAGAAAUCUCAUGACACCUACCUUUCUCAUGAAACUUAGCUUUAGUAGAGAACUUCCUCUUCCCAAAUAUAUGUUCCUUUUUCGAAACAAGAAUCGGAUCAAUAAGUGAUGGUCUACAACCAGUUCUUUUGUAUGCUUCUUUCUUUAGAUCGCCAAGAAGCAACACAACCUCUUGAUCACAAACAACUGCUACAUAGUACUCUGAAGUUGGUUCUGUUUCACCAUUGAAUUUAGCAGCUUUGAGGUCCCAAAAAACAUCGACAGGUUUUCCAUCAACCGCGAACCGCUUUGAACCUUGUUUCCUCCAAAAGUACCAUGGUUUCAGCUCAACUUUGCAGCUAUAUUGAGUUGUUUCCCUUUCUGGUGUUUCCACUGAUACUGAUAGACCAUGAAGCAACAAGUUUUUGCACCAUGCGAUUGUGAUCAAACGGCAGUGAUCAGCUAGUUUUGUUCUGUAUACUGACAUGUAAACACUUCUACCUGAACGUGUCACAGCUCCAUGAUGAUGAUCAUCAUCACUUGCAGAAGAAAAACAUGCAGGAAUACCAAUUGAGUCUUGCAUUGUUCUUGACGAGUUUAAAAAAAAGUGAGAGAAGAUGAAAGUAAUGUGAAGAGAUUGGAGUGAGAAGGAAUUUAAGAUAAGUGAGGAGAUGAGAGAGAUCUCAGUGACAAGCUGUAUGAAAGCUAUGCCAGAUGUGUUAUUGGCAGCAUUAUUAAUGAGAUUUGAAAAAAGAAAUAAAAAAAAAUGUGUAUUUAUAUAUCCAAACUGGCGUAUGGACUGGCAAUGACUGAGAGUUACAGAAGAACAACUUUUUUUUUUAUAAUUUUUUUAUAUUAUAUACACCUGUCUAUAAUCUCUUACCUGUCACCUCUUUUAAUUUAAUGUUUAUUUUAUUUUGGUUUAAUUUAACAUUUAAUUGUGAAGUUGAAACUAGAAAAACUUGUUUUUGAAUGCCAAGGUGGUUUUGAUUUGCUAUUCAAAAGUGCAUACUUCCAGGUAUAGGUAGAUGCAAGAAGGCGAUUUUUCAUCAGAUUUGGUGUAUGGAUGUUUACACACUAAGGAUAGGAGAAUCUUAAUUAUUCAUGACAGUGCAUGAAAGGGGACUAUAAUAUGAUCCAGAAUAACAUGUCAAAACUAAAAGGGAAAAGAAUUUUGAUUAAACCUUUUAUCGUUAAACUAUUAUUCUCACUCCUAUUUAAUUCUGAACCAUAGAAAUGCAAUAUCUUUAAACUAUUUUUAAUUCGGCAAAUUAAUCUUUAAAUUAUUACACCAUCUUUUAUUCGGAAAGUGACUCAUGGAAUUACUUGAUGGAUUGAGAAUAGUUUAAGGUCUAUUUACAAUUUUUUUUUUAUAGUUUAAAGACUAAAUUGAAGAUUUAGUCAAUAAUUUUAUCACUUUUUUAAUGAAAUUUCUCAAUCUCAGCGUUUUAGUGAAUUUUAUGUACGUUGUGUACACAUAUUUAAUUUAUUUUAAUGCAUUGUUUAAUAAACACUCUAUAUCUUUAUCCUAUCACUUCAAAAAAGUUUACUAAAAAAAAGAGUUCUCGUAGAAUUUUUUAUUAUUAGAAAAUAUGAUAAAUUUUAUUAUAAUUAAUUCAUACAAUUACGAGAUUUUGAAUUUGACUUAACAAAAUCGAUAUUUGUCAGUUAAGCUACAAUAUAAGAAAUAAUAUUGUAGAAUUUAUUAAUCUAGUGCAUUUCAACAAUAAUUUAUUUAUUUUUAAUAUUAAAAUGAGUUAGUAAUUAAAGAGAUAGUAAAAAAAGUACACGUGAGAGGCACAAAUGAUAGGAGAGAUAGUGACUAUAAAGACACUCAUUUGUAUAAACAUCCAUUUUUGCUCCACAAUGAGAAUGUCUAUAUAGAUGAUAUAUAUAUAUAUAUAUAUAUUUUUUUUUUUUUGAAGAAGCAUGUAGAUGAUGUUUACAAGGGAAGGACUCCCAUUUUGCUGAUUAAAUUUAUGAGUUUAAUAAUUAUAUAUCGACAAUAAUAAAAAUGUUAUUAACAAUCAAGUUAUAUUGCAUAACAAUGAUAAGUUAUAGUAAUAUCUAUGUGUUUAGAAGCUGCACAUGUUGUAUGGUAUAACUAUUAGGCACAUUAAACAUCCAACUCCUUUUUGCUAUCUUGAUGCCUAUAAACCUACUACAGUUUCUAAGCUUUUAUCCAAUAUAUAAGAUUUUAUUACUUCAAAAUGAGAAAUUAAAGGAAUCUAUCCACAUCGUUACAGUUGCAGAUCUGAUGUAUAUUAGCUUAAAGACAAAGAGUCCUUGUUUUAGAUCAGCAACCCUCAAAUUAAGAAGAAAAUAAAAUUUAUUUGAAUUGGAUCAUUGCCCUUGCUUAUUCAAUAUAACAUCCAAAAAAUCCAGAACACUCCACGUGCAAUUGGAUAAUUUCCAACUGUUACAUACUAAUUAGUAAGUACACGAGAAAAUUAUUGUAUGUUCAUAAAGACUUAGACACGUCAUUUAGACACAUAAAGAAAAAAAUUAAAUAAAAUAUAUUUUAAAAUAAUUAAAUAAUGUGUUUUUUUUUUCUUGUGUUCAAAUUACUUUUGUUUAGAAGUGUCACCAUCUAAAUAUUUUUCCUCACUUACACCCACCAAAUAAGUAAAAAAAAGAAAUUAAACAUAAUAACACUUUAAGUAAGUAAUGAGGUAUGUGUAAUGGGCAUAAUUACAUCAUUUGAUGAUACUGCACUGUGUGUGAAUUUUGUUUCGGUUAAGACAUGAAUCAAUCAUCUUGGUCAUUUUUUUUAAUAGGUCUAUCGUGGAAAUUCACAUAAAAUAAAUGUGAAAAAGAUGGAUAUUUUAGAUUUAACGUGGUAAAAUGAAAGGAUUAGAUGGUUUUAGAUGAUAAUAAACGAAUCAACAUAAUUCAUGAAUCAAUUUAAAUUUCACUAAAUUUUUUUCUUAAAAUGAAAUUCAAUUCAUGCAUUAAUAAUAAUACAAUUCAAUUCAUCCAUUGUCCUAGUUUUAAUGGAUAUAUAUACAUCCGAUCUAUCUAAUUACUUUCUUUUGAGCCUUUCAAUACAUUAAUUACCAUAUUUGUUAUUAUUGUAUUAUUUAUUAUUUUUAAAACUAUAUUUUCCUUUGAUAGAAAAAUUCUGUUAUUUUUCUUAAGAAAUCAGGUUUCAUAUUAUUUUAAAAAUUAUUAACUUCUCUUCUGACAAAAAUUAUUAACUUCCAAAAAUAAUAUUAUUAUUUUCUGAAAACUGUAUUUUUUAUAAAAUAAAAAUAUGGUUUUUUAUUAAUUUAAAAUCUUUUUAUAUUAUUUAAAAAAAAAUGUUUUCCUACUAUUUUGAAAAUAAUUUUAUUUAUUAUUUUAAAAAAAACAUUUUUUACAAUAAAAAACAGAAGUUUUUUUUAAAGUGUUUUAAAUAUCUAUGCUAUUUUUAAAAUAAAUGUAUUCAUUUAAAUAUUUAUUUAUUAUUAAUUAAAUAAUAAGAAGAGUGGUUGGUGGUGGCCGGCAACAGAAGUCUAACCGCCACCGCGACAAAAUCCACGGCCCUAGACAUUCUCCAACCAACCUCCCUAUUGUUUAAUUAAUAGUAAAUAUUAUUUAACAUUUAAAUUUUAAAUUUAAAACAAAUUACUUAUUUUUAAAUCAAAUACAAAAGCUGUUUUUAAAAAUACUAAAAUAGCUCAAGUUUUAUACCAAAAAAAAAAAAAUCAGUAAUAACAAUAAUAGUAAAUCCAGUUUUUUUAAAUUAUAAAUAAAAUUAUUUUAGUAAAUUACUUAAUUUUUAAGAUAAAAAAUCUGUUUCUUUUAAAAAAAUAAAAAUAAAAAGUGUUUUUUUAAUUUAUAAAAAAGUCCAUUUUCUUUUAAAAAAAUAGUUUUUAAUUGAAAAAAUAUUUCUUAAAAAUUAGAAAAAUAUUUUUCCAAAGUAUCUAUUUUAUGAUAAACAAAUAUAAUUCAUUGGAUUUAAUUCAAAAAUAUAUGUAACCAUUGAAUUUGUAAACAUGGUUGGAUUGGAUAUAUCAUUAAAUAGCUGGAUUGAAUCCAAUCCAUUAACUAAUAUUUUAUUUUGUGGAUAAAUUGAAUGGGUGAUAGUUUAAAUGAACAAGUUUGUCACCCUUAAAUUUUAACUCACACUUCAAUACAUUAAAUUAAAUGUUUUUACAAAUACCAUCUUAACUAGUAUAGUUAAACAUGUAUCUUGCACCAGGUAAAAAAUUUAUUAUUUGAAUACAAAUAAUAAUUUUUAAUAAUGUUAUAAUUACAAAUAAAUUAUAAAUAUAGAGAGAAAGAUUUUUUGAAUUUUAAUAAUUUUAAUAGUAAGAGCUUAAUAUUGUAACAUUAAAGAACAUAGUUAAAAUUUAAAGCGAGAUCAUGAUAAAAUAUUCAAUACUAUCACCGUUAAUAAUAAAUUUUUCCCAUUAUUUAAAAAUAAUUUUUAAUAUAAUGAUAUAAUAAAACUAUAUUUAUGUACACACGUAUCAUGAUAAAUAAUAAUUUUUCAAUAAAUCAAAGAAAAUUUGGAUCAUAAAUGAUAAGUAAAAAAAUAUAUAAGAAAAAUUGAAAAACUGUAUUUCGCGUCCGCUGAAAGACGACGCAAAAGGAUUCAAAACCGACGCUAAUGUUGAUUUAGGGUUGAUGUAGAGUCUAGUUACACCGUCGGUCCAACUCACUCUAAACCGACGUCAUUGUAAAAUAGAACGUCCGACGCCACUUUAUCCACGUUAGAUAUGUCAUUUGAAAAAAUCUACUGCGCCAGUGCUUGUCGUUGCUAUAGUCAGUCAAUGCAACAUCUAGCGUCGAUAUAACCGACGCCGCAAACAACUAAUAAAAAUUAACAAAAAAUUAAAGUGAAAUCUAUAUAAGAUAUAACAUCCGUUAGAUCGACGAUAUGGUCUAACAUAUGAAAAAUCAACUAAACUUGUAGCGUUAGUGAUUGCUUAAAUUCUUUCUUCUUUUUUUGCACUUGCACAAUUAUAUUUUUAUGUCUAAUAAAAUAAUGGAUUCUUAAAAAAUAUUAAAAUAGUUAAUGUUUUCACAAAAAGUCACUGCAUUGACAGCAUAACAAGUGCACUACAAAAUAUAAUUUAUUUUGAAACUACAAAAUAAUAACAUAGUAUGAAAUAACAAAAUUACAAAAUACAUAUUUGUCGAUAAAUAAAUACAAAAACUAAACAUAACUAUAAGAUAAAAGUGCAUUCAGUAACUGAUUGUUCAAAUCAUCAUCAUAAUAAGAAUUUAAAGAAGAAUGACUUGUAGUAGAUGAUACAUAUGCUAAUCGAUGCUGCAAAGUGCAUAUCUAUAAUUGUUGGAGGUCUGAAGUAAAUAACAAAUAUUUUGGUGAGGCACUUAAAGCAAGAGCUUUAGUGCCUUUCUCUUGAAUCAACUCUCAUGUUAAGUUGAACAUGGAGUCUUUAAAACAUAAAUAAAAUUUUAUUUGAACUAUCUUUCAAAACUUUAUUGUUUGCCCUACCUUGUCUACUCUCGUGUUGGUGUCUUUGUCUAUUCUUCAUCACAUCCCCAUUAGUUACUUGUCUUUGUGUUCUUUAGUCUAGGGUUUUAAUAUGUCGUAAUAAAUAAAAAUGCAAGGUAGUCUUGUCAAUUCUGCUCGACAAUCACGUUUGUAUUCUUAUCUUAACAUAAUAUUUUAACUUAGUAUAGCAUGUCAUAAUAUGACUCAUUGGAACUAACAAAUAAUAAAUAAGAUUCAAAAAAUGCACAUGUACACCUAACAAAAUUUAUUAAGAUACAUGGCAUUAAAUUGUAUAGCACGUAUCUUAUCAAGGUGAACAAUCAAUUUCAGUUUAAUAUUUAUUAGACCACUUUACAACUUAUUUGAGUUUCGCAAUAAUUAAUGUCAUUAUUUAGCAUGUACCUUGAUCAAAGUGAACAUUCAAUCACUUUCUAUCAUUAAUGGAACAAUGUCUUAUUUAGGAACCAAAUAUAUUAAUGCAUCCAGAACCAAUUACCACUAUAUUGUCGGGUACUCUUCUCAAUACAAAGGUGCAUGCAUAAAUAUUGUUUCGUAUACAGAAAAUGUCGAAUCUCUAUAAAACUCACUUUUUGUUACCUCAUGUGGUAUAAUAUAUUCCUUUUGAAUAAUAAUGUCUACUAUGUAUGUAGCCAUCGAAUCAACCAAUCAUUUUUUGACAAAUAGGAGAAGAUAAGGCUAAAAUGAAAAUUUGCAAGGAAGUGGAAGAAGAUAGGGAGAUGUUGCAAAACAAGUACUUAAAGAUAAGUAUAAUCAGAUGGUAUAGUUGAUUGCAUAUCUUUUGGUGCUUGCAAUCUAAGUAUUAUCUAUGGAUAUUUGUGAAAGUGAUGUAUGGUGUUCGAUUUAUUUUUGGAUGCCUUGGAUAUUGAUUUAUAUUAAAUUUGAAGAAAAAAGUAAUUUUUGUGUAUGGAUAGAUUUAUCUAGAAACAGGUCUUACCAUCUAGUAGUAUACUAGUGUUGGUGCGAUAUGUACACAUAUAUUUUAUUUAUACACAGUUAUAAUUUUAAUGACUUUACAAAUAACUUAGUUAUUUACAAUAUAUAAAUAUGAUAAGAAUAAAAAAUUAAUAAUUUAAAUUUGAAUUUAAUUGAUAUAUUGUCGAUGUAAAAAAGUUAUACAUAUAGAUCUUAAUACUUUCAUUUUUAAAAUAAAUUUCCAAUUAUUUAUGUGGUUGAGUGUGAUUAAAAAAAUUUAAUUUAUUAUAAAUUGAUAUAAAAGUUGGUAGAAAUACUAUAUACACAUGCAAUAUGUUAUAAAAAAUUAAUAAAUUACUCUUAUAUUUAUGUUGUAAUUGUUUUUUUUUUUAAGGAAGUGUUGCAUGUAAUGUUGUCACCAUCAAAUUUAUAUACUCUUAUAUUUUUUAAGGAGGCAUUUUAACUUUAAAAUAACUUUUUUACAAAACGAUAAAAAUGAAUAGGAUAGAUAGUUAUAAUACAUUCAUAUAUAAUCAAUGAUAUACACAGUAUCUUUACCUAAAAAAAAUUUAUUAAUAAAUCUUAAGUUUUUUUGGAAGAAUUAUAUUCAAAAUCAUAAUUUUGAAAAUGGUUACCUUGAAAAUUCAAAUAAAAUGCAACAUUUUAUCGUUUUAAUCAAUGCUAUUCAUUCAGUUGUACCCGAUAUCAAGGAUUUGAAAUUUUGAAGAGGUUAUUUCACAUUCAGUAAAUGGAAAGAAAAAAAAAGGCCAUUGGCUUUGGAGAUAUCAUUGGACUUGUGAUAGAUAAAGUUUUAGUUGACGUUGUGCUUAGACAACACAAAGAUUUGAGAAUACAAUAUGUACUUUGUAAAGUUGGCUAUUUUUCUUUAGAUAUUUCAGAUAGCAAGAAGAAUAUACUCGAAAUUGUGAAGAACAACAAAUAAAUCAAUAUCAAAUACAAGCAUGAAGACACACGAAAAUAUACCCAAAACAAAACAUAUUUGUUAGGAUAGGACUUUUUCAUAAUUUGACAUUGAAGGAAGAUAUACACAAAAGAAGAAAACAUUGAAGUGUCACCUAUUAAGUCACGAACACUCAUGUGAUUGCCACAUUCAAUCAAUAUUUACUACAAUCGAUUCAACAAAUUCAAAAAGUGUCAACCAGAGGCAACAAUAAUUGUUAGAAACCAACUCAUGUUUCGAUCAAUUGGCAAUGCAUAUACGAAAGAAGAAACAGGAAAAAAGAUAAAUAUAUAAACAAUAUAAUAUACUUUUAGUGUAUAUAAGAAAGAAGAAACAAGAAAAAAAGAUAAAUAUAUAAACAAUAUAAUAUAUUUUUAGUGUUCUUUCCAUGAGGGUUGGUCAUUAAGAUAUAUCUGUUGACACAAAAUUUCUCUCAAAUAUUUUAAUAACAACAAAAUUGUUUCAAAGAUUCUGAUUAUAUGUAUUAUCUAACUUGUAUUCUUGAUUUUAACAAAUUUAGAAAAUAGGUUAUUCACAUUCUUUAUCAAAUAAAAUAUUUAACACAUAUUAAUGUGUCUUCUACGUUAGAAGAUAAGCAAAAAAAAUAAUGAAAUUAUGUCCUCUAUAUCACAGGAUAAAAUAAAACUGAAGAGAUGAUGAAUUUAUGUUCUUUAUGUAAGAGGAUAAACAACGCAGAAUAGAUGAUGAACUUUUGUUGUCUAUUCAUCUCACACGUGGGAAAAUGAGUAAAAGAAUCAAAGUACAAAAAGUGAUAUCCUUAACUCCUAAGGCAAGAUACUACAACUGUUGGAAAAUAAAAAAGUCAAAAAGCACAAGUCACAUUAGAAUUAAUGAAAGCUUAAUCCUCCUACCUGAUGAUGGACUAAACACUCAUCCUCCUACCAUUUCUUCUAACAAGUACAACUGAAGGGCAUAUUUGCAAUUCCAAAUAAAGACCAUGGACAAUCAUCUAAGUCUCCAACUGAUACUUUGUGCUUCUCGUCAUAUUUGAAGCACCAUUAUUUCUAUAAAUUGAGAUGAUCUCAUCCUCUUAAAACACAACAAAUAUCAUAAAAUCCAAAGAUUAAAGUUGUGUAAAUCAAUCUCAUCAUCAACAUACUUUCUACUAAUCUUAAUUAUAUCUUUGAUAUUAACUUGCUGCAAUCUCAAACAUCAUGUAUAUCCUUAAGUUAAUAUUAACUGACUGAUAGUUGUGUAAGUGUUAUAAAACAAGAAGAGAAAUUGUAUAUGUAAGUCUGAUGAGAUUAAGAAAAUACAUAGUGAAAAUCCUUUCAAGAGGACAUGUUUUUUUGAGCCAUAGUGAAAAGCUCACAAGUAAGUGAGGACUGAACGUAAUCCAUUUUGGGUGAAGCAAUAUAAAUUUGUGUUUAUCAUUCUCUGUACUCUUUUAUCUUUAUUUUAUCUAACUUUGAUUUCAGUUCUAAGCUUUCAUCCUCUAUCACUCAUUUAUUAUCCUCACAUAGAGGAUACUUUUUUAAAAUAAAAAGAAAAUUAAGAAAAAUACAAUAUCUCUAUUCAACAUCCUUCUAGUGAUAUUUUAGCUACUUCACUCUCAAUGCAACAAUCGUACUCCCACAAUAGAAUUACAAACUUAUAUAAAAGCAUAAAUCAAGUCACCAAAUAAAAAACGUAAUUAAAAAAAGAAGAUAAGAAACCAACCAAAUUAGGAUCGAUAACAAAAGAAAAAUGAGAUAAAGCAUAAAUAAAAAUCCCUUCAUAAAAUACAUAAAUUAAAACAUUAAACAAAAGGUCACACUAAUGACACAUGUUAAUGAUACCUAAAGUAAAAAAAUUUCAUAAAAAAUUAAUGUUUAGACUUUCAAAAACUAAAAUGCACAAACUCUAAGAUAAAAUUUCUACAUUUAAUUUAUUAAAAAAAGAAAAAUAGAUGAAAAGUUAUAAAAAAUAAUAAAUUAUCCGAAAUAGAUGAAAAUGUCUGAAUUUCUACUAUCUUUUAUGCACAAUAGAUGAAAAGUUACCGGAAAUCUAUACAUUAUAAUAAAACAAACAUGAUAAAUUGGCAAGUUUGACACGUGUCAACAAACUAUAGUGUUAAGAAAAUAUCAAGUUUCUAUUAAUAGAAAUAAUACGUGCUUAUGCUUGAGAAGUUAAUGGCCAAUUAAAAAAUAAAAUGAAUAAAUUAAAAAUAAAAAGUUUUUUUUGUAAGAAAAGCAUAAAACUUCGGUUACAUCACGAUCUUUGUCCACGAUACAUCCGUUGAGAAUUUAAUGGUCAAUUAAAAAAUUAAAAAUAAAAUACAAUAUACCACGACUUGACAGUUUUUUCUAUGCGUCCGUUGAGAAGUUAAUGGCCAAUUAAAAAAUAAGAAAAAUAAAUUAAAAAUAAAAGAUUUUUUUUAAGAAAAAAAUAAAACUUCCAUUACAUGAGAAAUGAAUGACCAAUUAAAAAAUAAGAAAAUAAAUUAAAAAUCUAUACAAUUUAAUAAAGCAAAAUGAUAAUAUAUUUUUUAUAAUAAAAUUAAAUUUAUGUUACACGACUUUGUAUGUCAGUUGAAAAGUUAGUGGCCAAAAAAAUAAAAGAAUGAACUAAAAAUAAAAUACACUACACCACUACUUACGUUUCACCGUUGAGAAUUUAGUGGUCAGUUAAAAAAGAAAAAGAAUAACAGCAAAAUACGUUCAAUUACACCCACCACGACGAGACACUUUUUGAAAUUAUUUUUUAAACACUAUUUAACAACCACAGCUUCAAAUUAAUUUAUUUUAUUUUAUGAAUUCUUUUAAUUCCCUCAUACUUUCUUUCUUAAUUCCCGUGCUUCGUAAACGAUAUCUUUUCAAUUCUCUCAUUUUUUGUGUCUCCAUUAUAAAUAUCAUUCAUAUUAUCUCGGUAUAUACAAUUCAUUUUUUAAAUUUUUUUUACCAAAACUUUGUUAUUCAUCUUUAUCCAAUGUCAGUCUGAAACAAAAAUCAUAAAAUCAGUUGCUUCAAUUUCUUCAUCAAAGUUUGUUGCUUCAAUUUCUCCAAAAAAUGAGUCAUGNNNNNNNNNNNNNNNNNNNNNNNNNNNNNNNNNNNNNNNNNNNNNNNNNNNNNNNNNNNNNNNNNNNNNNNNNNNNNNNNNNNNNNNNNNNNNNNNNNNNNNNNNNNNNNNNNNNNNNNNNNNNNNNNNNNNNNNNNNNNNNNNNNNNNNNNNNNNNNNNNNNNNNNNNNNNNNNNNNNNNNNNNNNNNNNNNNNNNNNNNNNNNNNNNNNNNNNNNNNNNNNNNNNNNNNNNNNNNNNNNNNNNNNNNNNNNNNNNNNNNNNNNNNNNNNNNNNNNNNNNNNNNNNNNNNNNNNNNNNNNNNNNNNNNNNNNNNNNNNNNNNNNNNNNNNNNNNNNNNNNNNNNNNNNNNNNNNNNNNNNNNNNNNNNNNNNNNNNNNNNNNNNNNNNNNNNNNNNNNNNNNNNNNNNNNNNNNNNNNNNNNNNNNNNNNNNNNNNNNNNNNNNNNNNNNNNNNNNNNNNNNNNNNNNNNNNNNNNNNNNNNNNNNNNNNNNNNNNNNNNNNNNNNNNNNNNNNNNNNNNNNNNNNNNNNNNNNNNNNNNNNNNNNNNNNNNNNNNNNNNNNNNNNNNNNNNNNNNNNNNNNNNNNNNNNNNNNNNNNNNNNNNNNNNNNNNNNNNNNNNNNNNNNNNNNNNNNNNNNNNNNNNNNNNNNNNNNNNNNNNNNNNNNNNNNNNNNNNNNNNNNNNNNNNNNNNNNNNNNNNNNNNNNNNNNNNNNNNNNNNNNNNNNNNNNNNNNNNNNNNNNNNNNNNNNNNNNNNNNNNNNNNNNNNNNNNNNNNNNNNNNNNNNNNNNNNNNNNNNNNNNNNNNNNNNNNNNNNNNNNNNNNNNNNNNNNNNNNNNNNNNNNNNNNNNNNNNNNNNNNNNNNNNNNNNNNNNNNNNNNNNNUUAAUUUUGUCUCAAAAAAUUGUAAAUUUGUAUAUGUAUAUUUCUAUCCUCUUAUAUAACAUUUGUAUAAUUAAAUAAAAAAUAAUAAUUUAUUUAAGUAAAUAUAAAUUUUAUUUAGGCUUCUUAACGUGAAUUCAAUUAAAUUUCCAGAAUAUUGAAGAGAAAAAUAAUAAUUUAUUUAAAAAAAUAUAAAAUUUAUGUAUGAAUUAAAAAAACAAUUCAUUUCAUCGAUUCAUUGAAAAUAGUGGUUUUUCAAACUUCAAACACUAUUUUAUCAAAUUUAAAAACUACUAUACUAUACAUUUUAUAUUCAAAGGAUUCAUGAAAGAUUAAUGAAGACUAAUUUUUAUGUGUAUUGUAAUUUUUUGUUUGUAAUAGGAAAAUUAUUUUUCUUUAGUAUUUUGUGAGUAGUACUAAAAUGAAAUAUAUUUUGCCACUUGAUACAGCAAAAUUUAUAUUAAUUCUUAAAUGUCAUGUAUUUCAUAUAAAUAACAUAGGUUGAAUAAUAAAAAUAAAAAUUCAUUAUUAAGUUACUUACUCAUCUUUACAUUUACUAAUUUACUUAUUUUAUAUAUGUCCAUGUCCAUUAUUUUAAAAAAAUUUAUUUCAUCUAAUCUAAUUAUUUAAUUUAAUUUUUUUUAAUAAUUAUUGUUUUUAUUUGUUUAAAAUUAAAAGUAUAUAAUAAGUUUUUUGGAAAGAAAAAAGAUUACGUGUAGAAUUCAAAAAUAAGACAUCAUCAUUUGAGUAAGAUUAAAGAGUAGUGUUAGAGUCAUACUUUUUAUCAAUAACAUUGAGCCUAUAAGAAAGUAGUUUUAAAGUUAAGUUAAAAUUAGAUUUUUUUUAAUUUUUUUUAAAUCAAUUUAUUUUUUUUUAAUGUCAAUAAAAUUUAUGAAAUUUGAUAUAUAUAUAUAUAUAUAUAUAUAUAUAUAUAUAUAUAUAUAUAUAUAAUAUAACCAUUUAUUUAUUAAAAUCGUUGUUUCCGUGCGAACGCACGGAUUACAAACUAAUAAUAAGAUAAUUAAGUGCAUUGAUAAGAUGAAGAGUUUACAUUAAUAAAGCAUGUGAAAAAAGGUCUCAAAUGUGGAAGAAAAAGAAAUCAAAAUUGGUAGCAAAUUAUGAAAACCAACAUCAUUUAGUUAAUUGAAUUAAAUAGAGAAUUGGAAAGAAUAAUCUAGAUGGGAAAAUUUAAAGCAACUCUAGAAACCAAUUUUAUUAACAAUAAUGAUGCUAAAUAAAGAAAGAUAGAUGGAAAGAUUUAAAUGCAUCCUCGAUUUUCUUUUUCUUAAAAUAAUGCAUCAUUGUUUUUUUUUCUUCUCACCAAGCAUCAUCGACUUUUUUGAUAAGCUGAAAAAGUUGUUUGUAAUAAACACCCAUGUUUUUUUUUUAAAAUAUUAUUACUUCAAAUUGUUAUUUUUUAGAUUUUUUAAUUAUUGACAUUGGGGCAUGUUUCAAAUAUAUGUACUUUAAUGUAGUGACUUUUUAAAUUUUAAAUUAACUUUUUAGAAAGAUGUAAUAAUACUUGGAUCUCCCAUUAAAAAUUAAAUAACUAAAUUCAAAUAAUUUAAAUUUUUUAAAAACAAUUGAUAUAUUUAAAUAAUUUAACCUUCAAUCCAAAUAUAAACUUAAUCUUCUAACAUUUUUUUUUCUUUCAAAAUCUAAUUGCAAACCCAACUUAAAAUCAAUGAUUUCCAAAAUUCUAUGAUAUGCAUGCACAAUCAACACAGUGAUAUCACCGUACUAACUCUAAGGAAACGCAACCUACCAUGUUAUAGCCAUGCUACUUAACUUGUCAAGAACAGAAACCUUGGGGAUUGGGUAUUGAAUGCCACAUGAGGUGGGGCUCUUGUAUCUCUUUCAGCCUCAAUCGAUUAUGUUUCUGCUACACUUUCUCCUCCUAUUAAUUAAUUAGUUUUUAGGAUUUUAAUUGAAUCAUUAGAUGGAUUAGUGAAAGUGAUUUUUAAUUUUAUUUGUUAAACAAUGUCCAGUCAACUAUACUAGUACAAUCUUCAAAAAUUGACUAUGCCGGUGGAUCUUUUAAAUUUUGAACUAAAUAUUGUGUUCGUGGAUGAAAAAGACCUCUUGAAUCAAUCUAUUAACAUUAUUAUGAGAUAAAAUGUGCACUUUUAGUAAAGCUAUUUUAUAUUGAGUAUUAAUCAUAAUGUGUCAAUUUAUAAAAUACAUGUUCAAUAUUUUUAUCAAUUUUUUAUUUAUGUCAACCACAUUAUAAAAUAACUUUUAUUAGAUACAUAUUACUUAUACUCUAUUAUUAUACUGCUCCUAUACUCCACCCACUAAUAAUUAUUAUACUAACACAAUUUUUCAACAUUUAAUAAUUAAUACUAUCUGAUCUUGAAUAUAAAAAAAAUUGUAUUAAUUAAAAACUACAUUAAAUAGUAGUUAAUUCGGCCAUUAAAGUUUAAAAAAUUAAUGUCAAAACAAUUAAAAGAUUAUUAUAUAAUUUUUAAAGGUUGAAUUGAAAGAGCGAAGCGGUUAUCUAAAUGAUUGAUAUUUAGAGACGGAGAGAAUUAGCAUAAAAAAAUGAAAUUGAGCGAGGAAUGUGAAACUUAUAAGAGAAGUAAAGUCGAAAGGCACAAAAUGAAGCAUGAUAGAAAAUUAAGGUGAAAGUGAAAUUAAACCUAAACCGAAGUAGCCUAUAGUAAUUAAAAAAGAAUAGUAAUAAUAAGAAAGCGACGAGAAAGGCAAUCGUUAUUUGGGGCACUGCAACAGAACCUUUCCUUUCCUCUUUGCAUGCUGCUCUCUCUGCUCUUCCAUACUCUCAUUACCAAUACUCUUAUUAUAUAAUAAAUUCAUUCUCUUCUAUUUAUUUCUUAAAUUCCAAUUUCACUAAUCACUUCCUACCUAGGGUUCCCAACAAUGCUGCCGGAUUCCUCUGAACAAGAAGACGAUUCUGAAAUCGACUUCGUCGAAAUUGAUCCUACUGGUCGAUACGGUCGGGUGCGUUCCAAUUCUCAAAUCUAACGCUCAAUGCCGUAAUUAUUCAUUGUUUCGCUUGAUCUGAUCUAAAACUAACAAUGCCUUGUUUCUUUCUGAUUCGCUUUGAUGGAUUCAACAGUACAGGGAAGUUUUAGGAAAGGGGGCUUUCAAAAAAGUGUAUCCUUUUAUUUUGUUUCUAUAUUUUUACGAUCAAUUGAUAAAUUUCAAUAUUUAUUGAAUGGAUGUAAUCGUGUACCAAUGAGAUGAUUUGUUAGGAAUGAAAAUUUCCUUGACAGUAAUUUGGAAAUGUAGAUAUCGUGCUUUUGAUGAAUUGGAAGGAAUUGAAGUGGCUUGGAAUCAGGUUAAGGUGUCUGAUCUAGUGCGUAAUUCUGUAGAUUUGGACCGCCUUUAUUCUGAAGUUCAUUUGCUCAAGACUUUGAAGCAUAAAAAUAUUAUUAAAUUUUACAAUUCAUGGGUUGACGCCAAGAAUGAGAACAUUAAUUUCAUUACUGAAAUUUUCACCUCCGGAACAUUGCGCCAGUGAGUGUCCUUUGGUUCUUUGUCCCCUUUAUGUAUUUGUUUCGUUUUGUCAUUUUCAGUCCCCCUUUUAUAUUUUGGCGAGCUCUUUUGUUUUAAGUUUAGCUUUCUUAUUUUAGAUACCGGAAGAAACAUAAGCAUGUUGAUUUGAGAGCUUUGAAGAAAUGGUCUAGGCAGAUUUUGGAGGGCCUUUCGUAUCUUCAUAGUCAUAAACCACCAGUUAUUCAUCGAGACCUUAAGUGUGACAACCUUUUUGUCAAUGGGAAUCAGGGGGAGGUGAAAAUCGGUGAUUUAGGAUUGGCAGCCAUCCUUCAACAGGCCAGUUCAGCUCACAGUGUUAUCGGUAACAUUUUCCUGGGAAAUCAUUACAUGUAUUGCCCUUUUCUUAUGUGUACUACUGUGGAAGUAUUGUUACUUAAAGUAUUUGUAAUUCUCUUAUGAGCCCCAGGUACCCCGGAAUUCAUGGCCCCAGAACUUUAUGAAGAGGAGUACAAUGAGCUUGUCGACAUAUAUGCUUUUGGCAUGUGCUUACUAGAGUUGGUAACUGUUGAGUACCCGUAUAUUGAAUGUGCCAAUGCUGCUCAAAUAUACAAGAAAGUGACAUCUGUAAGUGCAUUGUUAUCAAAAUGUUGGGACAAUUUUAGGGACUGUUUUUUUUUUUUGAAAUUUUUUUAGGGAUUGUUUAAAAAACUUUUGAAGUGAACAAUUGUCUACAUUUAUAGAAAUAAUGAAAAUGUCAAAAAACCAUUUUCAUUAUUUCUGGAAAUGAUCUUAAUCAACUACCAUUUCAUAUUUUCUCCACGACAAUAGUUCACCGCAAGAGUUUUUCAUGAAGACAAAAUGAACACACAUUUUAGAAAAUGAUAACACAAAAUGUUUUUAUAAAAUAAGCGCGACCUUACUUGUUGUGUAAUGCAACACUGGUAUUAGAAUUUUUAACUCCAAUCACAGUGGUGGUAGGUAUAUUAUUCAAUGCACUCUGAAAACUCCGUAAAUUUUCGGAGACUGAGAUUUUCUGGAACCUUUAAAUAGUACAUCAAUUUGAUAAAACCAUUUCUGCUUGUGCGUGUCUAAGAUGUAAUGUCCUGACAUUUACUUCAUUUGAAAUUUGAAUCUUUUUGAACUACUCAAUGAUACUUUCAAGGUUAUAGUUUGCAUUUAUCUUUAUUGAUUGUUUCACGAAUCAACUAGUCAAACCCCGUGUUCAAUUCAAUAAAAGUAUUGGAUACUUCACGAUCCUGAGCAGAUGUUGAAUAUUAUAGAAAUUUCAUAUAAUUGGAGUGUUCUAUAAAGAAAAACUGGUGAAUUUGCAGUGACCAAACUCAAAAUAACAAAAUAAGAAUCCUAGAAUAUCUGAACUGGUAUUUUUUUUCUUCUUCUUUUCUACUUGCUGCAUCUGAACUCUAGUUAGCUUCUAUGGCAUGAUGGUUAACCUAUCUUCUUUAUAAGAAUCAUUUGAAGUCUUACCUUUCCUUAUGUAUGAAAUUGCUAGGGAUAUGAUUAGAGUUUUUUAGUAGAAUCCUGAAAAGGCUAGGUUAAACUCAACAUUGAAAAAUAUGUUUUUACUUUAUUGUUUUACUGAUAGGCUGUGCUGCGAAUCAAAUAACUGUUUACAAAUCCUUGUUCAAGUGAUAUUUCCUGCUUUUUUGGGUCUGUUUUAGUUUUUCAAUAAUUUUCAUUUUUAUUGUUUUGUUUUGCCAUUUUUUAUCGUUGUUGUUUCUUUUUAUUCUAGGGAAUAAAACCAGCAUCAUUGGCAAAAGUGACAGAUCCCGAAGUUAAAGCCUUCAUAGAAAAGUGUAUUUCUCGUGCAUCAGAUCGGUUGCCUGCAAAGGCUCUCUUGAUGGAUCCCUUCCUUCAGUCAGAUUAUGAUGGUGAUAGUGUAGGUCGAUCAUCGAGAUCUGGAGCCCACCAUUCAGGUACAUAUACUGUACAUAUAAAGUUCCAGAUGAACAAUUUGCUUUUGUUUACCAUCCAAUGCAUCAAAUGCAGGAAAUAACUUUAAUCAUCAAUCCAUCGGAGAAAGUGCCAAGGAAAACUCUGUUGAGACUAGUUGGGAAUUUACAGUGGAAGGCCAAAGGAGAGAUGUUAAUACAAUAUUUUUAAAACUGCGAAUUGCAGAUUCCUCAGGUAUUCUCUUACUUUGUUUAGUUUUUUUCAAAGCAAGGGAAUAUGUAUUUGCUUUUUCAUGGUUCUGAUAUUCAUUUGUUUGUAGGCCAUAUUCGAAAUAUUCACUUCCCUUUCAAUAUUGGAGCAGACACUUCAAUCUCCGUUGCCAGUGAAAUGGUUGAGGAGUUGGAGCUUACCGAUCAAGAUGUUUCGACCAUUGCUAAGACAAUUGACUCAGAAAUUCAAUACCACAUUCCUAGUUGGAAUCCCAGUGAAACUCCCGACAAUAAUUCUUUUGAAUUUUCUGGCCAGACCCCUGAAACUAAGACUGAGGCUUCUCCUAUUGGAAAUGAUUCUCCUAGCAGCCUUGCUUUGGAAAUAUUACCUUCUGGUCGUAAGUACUGGUCAGACUCACCAAAGGGUGUUGGUGGAAACUCUCCAGCUCCGCGCUGUGCUUCGAACUUGUCUUAUGAAGUGGAUGUGAAUGCUGAUGAAGGCAUCUUGUUUGCAAAUAGUGCGGAGAAGGAAUGUGACAGGACUGCUGAUUCCCCGUUUGAUGAAAGAAGUAUUAUAUCGGACUAUUCUGAAGCAACUGGUGGAAAGUCCUCUCUAGAAGAAAUAUCUGUACGUUACGAUUCUGAAAUAGAGGAUAUCAAUACAAUAGCAACAAAGUUGGAGACUUUGUUGGUUAUGCAAAGAGAGGAGUUAGAUGAACUGAAGAGGAAGCACAAAUUAGCUGUCUCAGAUUUUUUGAGUGAGUUUUCUCCAGAAAUUUGCCAACAGAUCCUAAGUAUAUGCAACCCGGAAAUGCCUGACAGUGAAAUGUAGGGUAAGCUUUCCCUAUAUCUAGAUGCCCAUUUUGUGGGGUUUGUGGAGGAGUGAAAUUCUGAAGUUGAAAUCUUUUUUGCAUGUCACAUGGAAUGAAUUGCGUUUGUAGUGUUAAUAGUGUCCGUGAUUGCUUAAGAGAGGGAUUUGUUUUAAUGGAAAUGUUCUUCUAAUGAUGUUGGGAGGACAUGCAGCUGACUCAUAACUUUGGAUAAUCUUUGCAGGAAUUAAUGUCUUCUUCAGCUUGGAAACUCAAUGUUAUUGCUGUAUUUAUGCUUGAAGCACUCUGGGGGUGAAAUGAUAAGGUCAUCGUAAGACUAGUUCAUAUCAACUUCAUUUCCCAAGAACAUCUGUUGUAUAUAGUUUGGUAGAAGUCAUUAAUUAAGCUAUAGAAAGUGUAUACUCGUAGAUAUUACUUGCUCUCCUUUAAGAUCUUCCCAACUAGGAGUUCACCCUUGAUAGGAGUUAAGGGCAACGAGAUCAACUAUUCGUGGAUUAUUUUUCAUUAUUUAUGUCCAAGUAUUCUCAGAAUUUGGCACCAUCGACUUAAUUAGAUGGAAGUUUGUAAACUUGAUUUUAAGUUAUUUUAAUUUUAUCAAUUAAUCUUAUUUUGAGUUUGAAUGAAAUAUUUGAAAUUUGCAAGUGAAAAUCAAGUUUAUAACAAAACUUGGCAGACCAUUUUAGAAAAAAAUGCGUACGUACAGUCCAUGUUAUCAACAAAUCAAAAUUAUCGAUUUAUGUAUAUUUUUUAAGGUAUCAACUAAAAAAGGUUUGAGUCUUUUAUUUUUUAUAACCAUAUUAUUAUAGGAAUUAAGUGUCUAGUAUCUACCACUGCUCAGCUAAUCUGAAACUUGUUGUGGAUACACAAGGUUGGAUUUUUCCUUUAACCAGUUUAUUUUUAUUUAAUAAUAAAUCAAUGGGUUAUAUAUAUAGAACACAUGAUUUUAGAAUAAAAAUAUAAAUUAUAGGCUUAGACUAAAUUAAAGGAUCAAGAUUUGUUUAUUGUUAUUAUUUGAAGUUAUAAAAUAAUUUUUGAUGAAAAAAAAAGAAACUUAAAGAUGGGCGCGUGUGGCCAUUUAAAUGGACUUGGAAGGAGGUGAGCUCAAUUUCUCAACCGAAAAAUGUUGGUGUCGUUUAAACAUAGUGCAAGUGAGUGCAAUUACUCUACCAAAGUUGUGACUUGUGAAUGUUUGUUAAAAAAGAAGGGAAUAUGUACGAUGUAAACAUACCAGAAAUGAGUGCAAUUUACCAUAUCUAUUUUGAUUAUUUCACCACGAUGUGAAAUGGAGGGAGACACUGUUGAAUUGAAGCAAGGGUUGAUAGUGAAGCUUCUUUUCCAUCACCAUAGUAUCAAUAUGGUUUUGGUUGUUGAAACUUACUGGAAAUGUAUGUUUUUUUUUUUGACAAAAAAUUGGAAGUGUAUCCAAUCAUAUUUGGUUGGAACUAUGGUGUAUAGUAUUGUAUUUGUAGAUGUAGACAAGUCAGUUACUGGACAUAAGUAGUUUUUAAAACAUCGAUUAUUUUUUGAUAUCAAGAAUGUAGUAGUAGAGUUACAUUAUUUGAUGUUAACUUACUAGUUUAUUUAUUUUGAGAUUAAAUUUCGGUUAUAUUUGGAACAAGACUUUAGUCUCUUGUGGUGGAUCUGCCUUCCAACAAGUCUCCUUAACGUGGAUACGUUAAUUGAAUCCAUGUCACAAUCAAGUCUUCGUGGAGCUUCUCUAAUCUUAAGAGCUUAUUUAAGGGAACACCCCAAAUAAUCAUAGCACCAAGGAUAAUAUAUCCAUAUGUGGUUAUAGAUCUGUGUACUUGUAAAAUAAAAACUUGUAAAAAGAUUACUUCCAUGUGUACUUACGUAGAAAUACCCGUGGCAAACGGUUUCAUACUUCGUGUAACACAAAUUUUAGAAAAUAAAAAUAAAAAGUAUUUUCAUAUUUUCACAAACUAUAUGAAUUUAACAGAUUAAUAACAACAUAAUAAUUAAUUAAAUCACAAAAUUAGGGUUGUAUGUUUAUAUUAUAUAUAGAAAAAAAACUCAAAUAAAUAAAAAGAAUAAAUGUUUUAACAAUAAAGUCUAAAAAUAAAUAAAUACAAUAAAACUAAAAGGAUAGAAAGUAGUUAAAAAAAAAAGGCAUUACUAGGUUUGCAUCGAGUAUGAUUAACCUUUAAUUCAAUGAUAUAAAUUGUAAAUGAGAAAUAUAAUGUAGAGUGGAUUGAUUAUAGUGAGGAGCGCGUCCCUCCAAAGGAGAGGAUAGAAUUUGAUAAGAAGUGGUUCUCAUUUCUUUCAUCCACACACACUCACUCAAAUUGAGAAUUCAGAUAACAAACAAAAUCCUCUUCUCUUCACUCCAAAUUCUCUCGUUGAGAACCAUGGCAAUAGCAACGGCUUCUUCUUCUUCUUGUUCCUCCAAACUCAAACUCUCACAACACCCACCACUCUCCCACACUUUCAUCGCAUCCGCUUCAAUUUCAAACUCCAAUACUUUCCGUUCCACCACACACCCCAAACUAACCCUAACUCGUCUAUCCUCUUCAUUUCUAAACCCUUCCACAAUCCUCCAUCUCACUCCCUCCUCUCAACAACAACGCACCAACCGUCCUUCCUUCACCGUCCGUGCCGCACGUGGCAAAUUCGAACGCAAAAAACCUCAUCUCAACAUAGGCACAAUUGGCCACGUCGACCAUGGAAAAACCACUCUCACUGCUGCUCUCACUAUGGCUCUAGCUUCCCUCGGUAACAGCGCCCCUAAAAAAUACGAUGAAAUUGACGCUGCACCGGAAGAGC